UCACAACCACGGAGAUAGCUUUCAGAGACCGUUUACAUAUAUAGAAUUAUAAAAUAUAAAUCCAUAAUCAUACCAAGAUGGAUGGUAAGCAACAAAACGUUGUGUAGACGUCUAAAUCCAUAAUCAUACCAAGAUCUGGUCUUUGGCUUUAUUCAAAUUAAAGACGAGGUUUCACUGAGGUUUAAACUAUUGGAAACGGGAUUGAUGGGGUAUAGUUCAGGGGCAGAUGUAGAGGAAUUUUCAAUCCAUGAUUUAUCAGAUGGAGGAAAGAGGUCUUGUGUGCUGUUUAAACUCUGGUCUGUGACCUGCUGAUAGUGGCCUUUGACACGUUUGGAGUAUAAAUCAUCACCAUAAAUGCUAGGAUCUGAGGUUACCUCCGGGAUGCUGGUCUGUCCUUCAAGCAUGCUCACCACUUCUGACAUUGCAGGCCUUAUAGAUGGAGAAGCAUUGGUGCAUAAGAGAGCCGCUUUGAUCAUCCUCUCAGCCUCUUCCUUGUUGAAUUCAGACUGCAGCUUUGGGUCCACUAUCUCCAUUAAAGUUUCCUUUUUUUGCAUUACAUGGGCCUGUGACGACAAUUUCAAAGACAAAUAAGAAGGAAGCUAUGAUAUUUUACCAAAUGUACCAUGUUUUGCAUUGAGAACUGAUGCCUCACGCGUCAUUAAUUGAGGAUAGCAACAGAAACAGACUGACGAUGAUUUACCCAGUCAAGAAGACAAACAUUUUCGUUCUCUGGCCUGUAACUUGAGUUACUCUUUCCACAGACAAUUUCUAAGGCGACAACCCCAAAACUAUAAACAUCUGCUUUAUCUGUUAGAUAGCCCCGCAGUGCAUAUUCUGGAGCCAUAUAUCCUCUGAAAUAUAUAUAUUUAAAAAAAAAAUGCAGAAUUAGUGCCCUUCAGAGACUUGAGGAGUAUUACUAUCAAUAAACUUCACGAAUUAAAUUAGUCUCAAUACAACAUACAUUGUUCCAGCAACUCGGGUGCUAAUAUGAGUGUUCUCAUCUUCAUUGAGCUUAGCUAGUCCGAAGUCUGAUAUCUUGGCAUUUAGAUCUUUGUCCAGUAAUACAUUUGUACCUUUGAUGUCCCUGUGAACGAUCCUGAUUGCAGAUCCUUCAUGGAGAAAUGCUAAACCUCUGGCUAUUCCAACACAUAUCUUAUACCUUGUUGGCCAAUCCAGCAUCAGAGCACUUGUUUCGGAACCUGCUCCUAAUAGGAUUGUUGAUAAGAUCAUUUCAUGUUUGGUAGUUGAUGCAGUGUUCUAAAAAAUAUUUUUUACUUGAAAUUUAUCAACAAAUGCUACUAUGGUUACCAAAAAGAGCUCGAGAGAGGGAGUUGUUUUCCAUGUACUCGUACACCAGAAGCAACUGGUCUCCUUCAAUACAGCAUCCAUAAAGCCUUACAAGAUUGGGAUGCUGUAAACAAGAUAUCAUGCCUAUUUCGUUCACAAAUUCACGGCUUCCUUGCCUGGAUUUUGGAGAUAGCUGCUUAACAGCAAUAAUAGUACCGUCUGCCAAUUCACCCUGCAUUGGAAGUCAAUCACGCAUCUAAAUGCUAUAGUGUUUUUGGGGAGGAUUCACCCAUGCAUGAUUCCAAUAAUAAAAUUGUGAUAGUAUAAAAAAUUCAUUAGAUGACAAACCUUGUAUACGGAUCCAAAACCACCCUCUCCAAUCUUGUUUAUUGAAUUGAAAUUGUCUGUGGCCGCUUUUAGCUGCCUCAAGGUGAAGGAACCAGUUUUCAAAUCUAGCCCUUUAAGCUCUGCACGUAGCAGUUGGUAUGGAAGGAUGACAGUCAGGAGACAUAUCGUGAAAUAAUAGAAAUGCUUGAACAUCAUAUAACCAUGCACUAAGCGCAUUCUUUAGUGUGAUUCUCCAUUAUUUAGAAAAUUAAGAGAAGACUCAGUGUGCGGAAAUGACUGAUUUUACAAUACCUCGUUCUCUUGUGUGUUUGUCUCCAUAGUAGAGCUUCCAAUAAAUGACACCCAUUAACAAGAGAAUAAGGAAUGCUGCUGAAGUGACUACUCCGAUCACAAUAGGUUUCUUACUUGCUUCCUCAGGUUCUGACAUUAAAUAAAAUUGCAAACGCAAAGAAUGCUAAACAUCCCAUCAAAUGGAUAAUAAACAUUAACGCUGUAAAGACACCCGACCACUAUAGCACAGUUCAUUUCUCACCUUCACAAUAAGUUCUGUCACCUGAAAACCACAGAUCACGGAAAGAUUCUUAGAUGGGAUAAUGAAGUGAGUGGAAGAAGCUUACAGUUACAGUGAAAACAAAAAUCAGGCUAAUCACUUAUGCAGAUUGGUUUAUGAGAAACAUUAAAUGUGUUUAAUAUUAUCAGUUAGGGGAGGGAAAAAAAACCCAGAAAGCUCAGAAAAUUGAAAUAGAAAUGAAUUCAAUGGUGUCCUUCUACUGUAUAACUAAAACUCCUUGAAUUCUGUAAGUUUCAAAUGAGAGGCAGAAAAAGAACAUGGAACAUACCUGAACAUACGGAUAUAGCAGAAAUUAUAGGACCAUAAUUUCCUCUUCUUGGAAUGCUAGUAGUGCCUUUUCCAGCCCAGUAUAAUCGGAUCUCCAGGGUACGGUCUGUCACAGUGGUGUUGAAUGCUAUUGUGAAAUCUCUGUAAGAUCCUUUGGCUUCCUCCAUAAAGUUAAAAUCCUUUUGCACUUGUAUUCCCUGGAACAAAGUUUCCUACUCAAAAGGGUUCCUUUGAAAAAGAAAAAAAAAGGACAUCCACAAUCUCUUCGGAAGGAAAAGAUAAUUAAUUACCUGAAUGUAAAUAUCAAAAACACGGCUUGCAACUUUGUUGUACAGUUCUUCAUAUGUGAAUUCUAUCUCAGCAAAGUGGAGUAUGACAGUGUAAAUCCCAUUUUCUAGACAAUAUCCAUAAUAAGUGAUAGAUAGGGGAGUUUUACGUGCUGUUGCAUACAAUCCAAAGAAUACCACAGAAUUAUAAGAAUUUGAUUGAAGCGUAUAUCUGUUAUCAUAGAAGUUGUCAUCAUCCAUGAAAUCUCCUGUGCUGCUGAAUCCCCAGUUUGAUCCUGCUCUAUUAUAACUCCUUGCAGCAGCAUUACUUCCACUAUCUUGAUCACCUUCAUACAAGAUUUUCCCAUGCUUUACAUCUGGACCACCACAGUUUAUAUGGAAUGAACGAUAAUCUGCAGCACAUAAAACUAGUAUACCAUUAGACAUGUUUCAAUUUUCCAUUUUGUCAUACUUGUAGAAGCAUAUCAAUGGGGAAUGAGUUUACUUUACUACAAAGCUUCAAAACUAUGAUUAGUCACUGGUCAACACUUCAUCAAGUGGCUUGCCACUGUCAGAUGAGUUCAACUCAAUAAAUGACCUUCUGUCAACACGUUUUGAUGUAUAAAUUUUCCAACAUAGUGACCAUGAAUUGACCUUAUUAUUUUUUCGAGAUAGAAUCUAAUUAAAAAGCUAACAAUCAUCAAUGUCAUUCAAACAUUGAAGUACACAAAUAAAUAUGGUACAUCGAUAAGCUUUAAUGGCACACUCGAAUUUUAUGAAGUGCACAUAUUCUUAUUAUAGGGGGAAAAAAAAACAUACAUUUUGGGCACCGAGAUAUCUUUGAGCAUGGAAGAAGAUCGCUUCUGUAUAUCAUGGAAAUUAUAGUAUGUUAGAAUAAUAAAUGGUUAUGUAGAUUGAAUUCUAAGAAUCUGGUAUCAGAAAGAAGCCUCGGAAUCAGAAAUGAAAACUUGCUUAAAAAAAUUGUAUCACUCAAGGAAUAUAUUCAAGAUGUGUUUGCUCUUUGAAAAAAUGAUAAGCAUUAUACUUUGAGCAUAAAUUAAUUCUGGAUAUCCAUCUAUUCUGCUCAGGUAGGAUUUAAAGAUGUAGUAAUUGUAUUAAAAGAAGUAGGAUUCAUCUGAAGUAAUUGUAUCUGUCUCUGCAACUUUGUACUUAGAUUGCAUAUGUUGUUGUCGCAAAUAGGUACAAGAUCUUGCCAUGACUCGGCAACAUUCAAGGAAUUCUUUUGACCUUGUGGGAUUAUUUGAAAUCACAUAUAGCAAAAUCUCUAUUGCUAAAUUUCAUCUCCAGAAAUAUAAAUACGAAAAACAUUGCAGUCCACAGAGUAUAAAAGAAGAGCCUUACAAUUUAUUAUUGCUGGACGAGCUUCGAAACCAGUUUAUAUUAUUCCUGAUUUAUAAACUCAAAUCAUUCAGUUUCAAAAUCACCAAGAAUAUCCAAUUUCAAAAAUUUAUGAACAAUAUCCUUACUCGUUACUGCUGCUGCAUCUUGGUGGCCGUGAAAAGUUAUUGUACGAAACAUCACUGGAAAAGAUCAAGAAAAUCAUAAAUCUAAAUACAAACUUCCACAAGGUUAGCAAAUAAAGAGAAUAUAUAAACUUCACGAUGCAAGCACUAGAAAUGCACUAGCUUUCAUAUAAUGGUUUGUCUCAUUGAUGGUGAUGGCUUGGAUGACUAAGAUUUAAUUGUUUUUAAGGGAAAUGGUUUAUUAAUUUUAUUUAGAAUUGUUCUGCUAGAAUUGAUGGAUUAUUUAAUAGGUAUCAAUCAUAGUUUGUUUAUUUGGACAUUCCGAAACAAUGUGCCCAUGUCCUAAGCACUUGAAGCACUUGAUGUCUCGAGACCUCCUACGAUGUUGAGGUUCUGUCACCUUCUCCUUUCCCUUCAAAGAAUCAGAACUGGUAUUCCUCUUACUAAACUCCACCUUCUCAUCUUCUUUAGGUGUUCUCCAUGUUCGUGUAGGCGUAGAAACAACCCUUGUCGUGCUUGACGUAGUUACACCAGUUCGGACACCUCCUCGUUUCUGCUGCCUCUCUACUCGAGUUGCAAGCCUUAUAACUUCCUCAAGGAAGAUGUACGACUGUAAUUCAACAAUAUUAACUAUAUCCUUCCUCAACCCUCCAAGAAAUAUAGCUAUUGUUUGCUCUUGGGGUUUCAGCAAUUCACAUCGAAUCAGCAGCAACUCAAACUCUUUCACAUACUCUUCCACGCUCAAAGAUCCUUGUCGCAAAGUCUGAAGUCUGAUGUAUAGCUCCUGUUUAUAGUAAUCAGGAACAAAUCUCUUCUUCAUCACUCUUUUCAUAGUUGCCCAUGUUGUAUUCUCCUCUUCUCCAUCCCUUCUCCUCUGAAUCUUUAAGUUUUCCCACCAUAAAAAAGCAUAAUCCGUAAACUCAAGUGCCGCCACCUUGCACUUCCUUUCUUCAAAAUAUUCAUACCAUUCAAACACCUUUUCAACCUUCUAAAUCCACUCCAAGUAUUCCUCGGGUGAACUACUUCCUCUAAACGAUGGAAUCUUAAGUUUGAGACCAUUAAGAGGAUUAUAAUUCUGCCUUCUUGGUCUGCCCCUAUCAUCGGCCUCAUCAUCCCCAUUUGGAUCUCCGCCAGCUUCUAUAAUAUCAUUUUGUGGCACCCUAAGUGCUUGCCUCUGUUGGGGUUGCAAAUUAUUUCUUUGCAUCAUUUACAUAAGGGUAUUCAACUGUUCAUAAAUUCCAGUCAUUUCAUCCCGAAUCUCAGCAUGAGAUCGUUGUAAGCCCAUAACCUGCGCCUGUUCCAAACUUAACCCUCUUGGCAAAUCUUCUUUAUCUCCAGCCAUAAUUAAGUGUAUCAACCUUAAUUCUAGCAAGCCUUUCUUCUGUUUUUGGCUCCUGCCUUAGAUCACAACUGAUGCUCUGAUACCAAAUGAUGUGCCGUGAAUGAUUCGAAAAUCGGCAACAAUGAAUCUGACGAAAAUGGAUGAAGGAUAGGUCUGGUUGUGUUGUCUUUCUUUUGGUGUUUAGGCUGGAUUAUAGUGAUUUUAAGGUAAAUAAGAUGGAGGAUAGACUAGAAUGAUACUUUGAUAAGUCGAUCUGGACGCCGCAAAGAUCAAUCUAGGAUUUCGACGCCACACUCUUUAUGAUUGAAGAGUGAUAAGUCAGGUAGGGUUCUUCACAAAAUCAAUUUGGAAGAACAACUCUUAAUUCUCUGAAUUAAGUUUCAAAUCUUGGCCAAAAGUCUUUUAUUACAUAUUCUGAUACUAUAUUUAUAAUUGGAACAUCCCUCCAAAGUUAGGAAAAAUUCAACAUGGCAGAAGUCAAGUCCAAAAAACAGACUUUGACAAACUAACCUAGACAAAUUAACUAGCGCACAUUUUUUGACCUUUCUAACAUAAACAUACCAAAUUUAAAACAACUAUAACUUCUUACACAAAAAUACAAUGCAAUCAUGGUUGGACAAUCUAGAAAGAACACGUUCUAAACUUCAAAUCCACCUAGAUUAGUCUUGUUUUCACAUGCAAUGGAUGACUUCAAAUUUGGGUUCAAAUUCAUUUGUUGUUCUGACCAUAAACAUCAUCAAUUCCUUCACUUAUUUGCAUAUCAACCUAAAUUCAAGUAGCCCAGCAUCAAAAGAAUCAUUAAGGGCUUUUCCCAUAUUUAAGUUCUAAUUGUAGGCAAAUAAGUACCCUUGAACCAAUUUCAAACUGAUUGCUAAUUUUCAACUUCGACGCAGCUUCAAUCAUUCCAAUUUGACUCGUCAAGGCCCUUUAUAGUUUUUUCGCUCUCGCUCUUGUCAUUGGACCAUCUGAAUCCUCUUGUAUAUUAGAUUUAACUUUACGAGAUGGAUUAUAAUUCCCAUGAUGCACAUCAAAUUGUGGUCAUCUAGAGCUUUGACUUAUGAUGUAUCGAGGAGACAAAAUUUUCUGAUGAAGACAACUUUGAUGUGGAUUAUCAAUGAUUUUCCAACUUAUGAAAUGGUUUCUGGUUGGAGCAUUCAUGGAAAACUAACAUGUCUAUAUACUACAUGAAAAAUAACAAGGCAUUCACGCUAAUAAACUACGGUAAAACAUUUUUUUUACUGCCAUUGACAGUUUUUGCCAAUGGAUCACAAGUUGAAAGGGAUGUUGUAUUGCCUUUUCUUUCAGGUGAAGAGUUGUAUAACGUGGUGCAGAGUACGGUGACAUUAAGUUUGAUUUUUAAUCGGGUAAGCAUAAGUUUCCUGUUUUGGUUUAACUCAUAAUUGGGUAAAUGAAGUAUUUUAUGGAAACCAAUCUUCUUUGUCAUAACCUUGAUGUCAUACACAUAGAAAAGAUCGUGUUUGAGAACAUUUUCAACACGGUUAUGGACGUGAAGGGGAAGACAAAUGACAGCAUCAAGGCUAGAAGGGAUAUAGCUUUGUUUUGUUAUCGUAAAAACAUGAAGUUGUUUUAUGUUAUGUCACGAGUCGCAAAGCCCAAAGCCAGCUUUGCCUUAGACAAGAAUGUAUAGUUACUUGUCUACUAAUGGCUUAAAAGUUUAUGUUUUCCCGAUGGACAAGCCUCAAACAUAUCAAGCUUGGUGAAUUUGGAGGAUUGCAGAUUGUAUGGAAUGAAAAUACAUGACUGUCAUGUGUUUAUACAAACACUCAUUCUAUUAUCAAAUGGGAUAUGGAAUGCACUCAUGAAGACUAGUCACUUCUUUAGAGAUAUAUGCUCCAACAAGUUGCAGACACAACACAUGAAGCAACUUGAAAUGAAUAUCGUCCAAACAAUAUGUAAGCUUGAGAUGAUGUUUCCUCCAUUGUUUUCGAUGGAGCAUCUACCCUUACAUUUACCGUCUGAGGCAAAAAUCGAAGUCCUAGUCCAAUAUAGAAGGAUGCAUCCAUUCGAGAGGUUAGGGUUUACACAUACAUCGUAAUUAAAAUCUUAUUGUCUUUCUUUGCAUAUUUCAAAACAUUCAUUUAAUAUCGUAGGUACUUGUUCAAACAUAAAAGAAAAGUAAAAAACAAGGCACAUGUUAAGGGUUCAAUAUGCGAGGCCUAUAUUCUUGAAGAGAUCUUAACAUUUAUCUCAUACUAUUUUUAGUCUCAAUUGAGAAUAAGAAUCAAUCUCAUUCCAAGGAAUGAUGAUGGUGGGAAGUGUAUUUGAGUGAGAACUUGUCAAUAUUCUUAUAUCCUAGACGACCCAUACCAAAAAAUGUUAUGAGGAGAAUAUAUUUGUUAGAAAUAAAAUUCAGACAAGUAUAUAAUUAUGUGCUAUUUAAUUGCGAUGAACUGAGACAUUUUAUUUCAUAAGUUAUCUCUCGGGAUACUUAAUUUCAUUACACAUUUCUCGUUAACUGUUCAUAGUUAUACUUCAUGUACCGGGUUUAUCAAUUGGUAAGGAAUACUAGUGCUACUUUGUCUUUACUAAGUCUGGGUUUUGAAUGAAAGGUGAAGUUCUACAACGAGAAUUCCGUAAAUGGAUAUGUGUUUGAUACUGAAGAAUAUGGAUAGGGUAGAAAGACAUAAGGGAUCGACUUCUAAUGAGUUUGAAGUUGAUUACUAUAAGAAGUUGAAAGAGGUCAUUGAAUUGCAAUAUCAUAGUGAGUAUAAUAAAGUAUUUUAUUCAAAUACUAUUGGUAUGACACCACUAACAGAUGAAUCAGAGUAUAUCCUCAUCAUGGUUUGGUCACAAUUAAUUCAAAGGCUAGACUCUGUAAUGUCGACGAUAUCUUUGUUUUCGCCAAGUAAUGCUAGUAAGUUUAUUACACAUAUAUUCCUUCCUUUAGAAAGAAUUGUUCAAGAGCUGAGUGGUUAUUCCUAGUGAAAACUAAACCCAGGGGUUGUGUCGAGGUUGCUCUGGAUGGAAAUGAUGAAUUAAUUAUGGGAGAUGAUGUAUUUCAACUUGGUGAGUUAGUUGAUCCAUAUCGAGUUGCUCUGUCUAAUGACUUAAAAGAAAAUUCAAAUUUUUGCAUGACCGAAUAUUUUUAUUGCUGUUGAUGUCGGGAGUUGAAUGAUAUUUUGAGCUCUAGCGGACAUACACAUGUUGAUGAAGAUGAUAGUGAUGAAAUCAACAUAUGAGAUUGCAAUGGAGACGAGGACUGGUCAAUCGACGAAGAAGAAGAUAAUUCUGAUUAAUUUGCACAACAUGAAUGUGUAAUGCCAUAAAAUAUAAUGUAAUAUUUAUGGAUGAAAUUCACUUCAAUGUAAUGACAAUGAUAAUUUAUUAUUGAAUAACAAUGAAAUAUUUAUUUCAUUAUUGUGAUGUGAACUGGUGUUAUUGUGUUGUGCAUGCAACUGUGAAUUUAACUAUUUGGAGGAUGUAUAGAUAGGGAAUAUAGAUAUAAUUUGGCAUCAGACACUGUUUUAAACCGAUGGAAAUGCCGACAUAUUGUAUAUUACAUACGGGUAUACCGACGAAAUGUAUCUGUCGGUAUAUUAUAGAGACCAUGAGAAUUCUUUUCAUUAACCUUGACAUUGUUCAUGGUAUUCAUUACAUACGAGUAUACCCAUAAAAUGUGUUUAUCGGUAUAUUUCAAAGACCAUGGGAACUAUGCCCCUUCACCCUGACACUGUUCACGGUGUUUAUUACAUACGGGUAUACUGACAAAAUAUGUCUGUCGAUAUAUUACAGAGACUAUGGGAAAUGUUUACUUCUCAAUGCGGUGAUAAUUAAUGUUCUUUUGACUGUUCAUUUUUCUCCCAAUAAAAUCAUCGAUAGAAUGAAAAGUUGUCGAUACUAUUCGGAGGGCUUUUUGAAAAUUUUCGUGAAAUUUUAGUUGAAGAUUUUUCAAUUGACUUUACAAACGGAAUCACUGAUGGAAAUAUUAAAAUAUUAAUAUUUAAUUGCUCAUCAGUAAUCUCUAUCACGGGGUCGAGUGCUGCAUCGCGACGUCGUUGGCAGCAGCAGAGGCUUUCCUGUGUGAGGUGCGUGUGUGUGUUGGAAAGAUUUUUUGGAUGUAAUCAUAAAAUUAUGAUUAAUGUUCAAGAGUCGCCAUCUAGUAUUAUGGUCACUAGGAACCUAUGGUCUGUGAGAGUCUGGGUAAGGGACUGACUGUGCAAGGGGAAGACGCAUCACCCCUAGUGCACCCUACCUAAGGUAAGCUGCAAUAUUGUUGUUUGAUUGUUUUUUUCUAAGUCGGGUUUCUAUUCAUUGGUCUUUUCUAAGGUUCAAGGAAGAUAUCUCUUCAUGAGAGAGUCUCUACCUUAUCGGGUUAAAUCCUAACCGUUCUAAAGUCUAAACUUUAGCAUCGCAUCUAUUUACACAUUGUACCAUUAAUACCUGAGGGUAUAAUUUAUUGUAUAAUUUUAAACCCCACAAAUAUUAAAGUCUACAUCUGGACCCUAAAAAAAUGGAAAAAGGUUUUUGAUAUUUUAGCCAAACCCUAAUGGAUGAUCAUAAACUAGUUAUGUUAUCCAUUUUUUGGAUUUUCAAAACAUGAGAAAGAUGCAAUUUUUUAAUGAAAAUAUGCAUUGAAAAUUUUUAGGAUUUGGAUGUAUGGAUCAAAAAAAAAUUAUUAUUAUUUUUUAAAAAAUGUUUUGGAUUUUUUUUGAAAUAUUUAGGAGAAAACCUGGUAUUUUAAUACCGGAUUUAUAUUUUACAUUGUAAAUAUACAACCCGAUAUUAUGCAAAAUGGGUAGAAAAAUAUUUGAUAAAAUCACAAUUUUUUUUAAAAUGUUUUGGAUUUUAAAAAAAAAAAAAUGGGGGUCGGGCCGAGUCCAGCCCAACCAUUUAGGCUGGGCCAGAACUGGCCCGACCCAAAGCCAAAGUGAAUUAUUCUGCUGCUGCAUGCAGAAAUGAAUUUUGCAUGCAGCAGCCUCGACGAAGAAGAAGAGGUGAAGUAGGGAGGAGAAAGUUGCCUGGCUUGGGGGUCUAGGACGUGAUGAGGAUGUUUGGCCGAUGGCUCAGGAGGCGUCGGUUGAGGUGGUGGUGGCCAGAGUUGUCUGUGGGAGGAAGAAGAAAACAUUGCAGAGGAGAGAGAAAGGCUGGAAGGAGAAGAGAGAGCCACGGUGGCAGCUUGGUGGUCGAUUGGUGGUUGUGUUGGCUUUCUGUGGUGGAGCUGGUGGUUGCUCUGGUUGGUGGCUGGAACGGCGGGGAGAGAGAGGGAGAGAAAAAAACUAUAGAAACAGGGGCAGAGGGCUGGUUUUUGGCUGACUUUGGACCCGAUUUCUCCUCCCUCAGAGCCUGAAAUCCACCUCUAUUUAUAGGCGGUGGAAGAGGGAAAUCUUUUUUGCACUAGGGAAAAAUAGCAGCCCUUGAUUCAGUUGGGAUGGAUCCCAACCGUUGGUUGAAAGUAGGCAUGGUGCACUGUCAAAUCUGCAGCUGCAGGCCACUUGAGUUGGCCUUUUUGGGGUGGUGCCACGUCUAUUUCUUUACUGGUGAGGACCAUAGCCAAAUCUAAAGGGAUGUUUGUUAAUUACUUUCGUGCAAGUUUUGUUAAAUUUGGUGGACUUUAGAUACAUUAAAUGCACCUGCAAAGGAGGUAACCAAACCAGCUUUUCUGAAAAAAAUGAAAACGAUAAUGAACAGUACUAGAGUUCUGUUUUUGGCCAAAGUUCAUUUCAGUCCUCCCUCUUUUAAUAUGAUUUAAUUGCACCCCUAAUUGACCCUAUACUUUUCAUUUAGUGCAAUUAAGCCCUUGAUGAACUUCAAUUGACACCCCAAAUUUACGUGCCUAUUGCGAUUAGGUCCUUGGUCUCAAAUUUAUGCAAUUUAACCCCUAAUUGACCCCAAAACUUCAAUUUCCUUGCAAUUUGGCGCCUAAUUUCAAUCAAUUAACUUGGUAAAAAUAUAUUUGGUCUCUUAAAAUUUUAAUCUUCUCAAUUAAGCCCAAAUUAGGCUCCCAAACUUAAUUUUUCACCAAUUAAACCCCAAAUAAAAUUAAUUUGACCCAUUUAAAGUAUAAUUUAAGUCCUUGCACUUAAUUAAAUCCUUCAAUUGGACUCAAAUUAAUUCUUAAAAUUCAAUUUGGCCCAUGAUUAAAUCAAAUUGGUCUAUUGAAAAUUUAAUUAUGUCAUUGGACUUAAUUUUUAUGCAAAUUUGUCCAAUAAUCAUUUAAUUUGACCUUGAAUAUUACUGAUGGAGUCACUGACAAAACAACUUCAUCGUUAUAUUCCAAAGAGUUGGAAAAGAAUUACUGAAAAUGCCACUAUUAUUGAUGGUGUUACCGACGGAACUAACCGUCGGUAUAUUCCAGAGAGUUGGAAAAGAAUUACUACAAAUGUCACUGCUAUUGUUAACGCACCGAAAAAAUUAUAAAUGAUAUUAUGUCGGUGAUAUGUUAUAAUUACCAAAGGAUAUACCGACGGAAUAAAGCGGGUAAAUUAUUUUUGGCAUGCUUUGUCUGUUUGUAAAUUCAUCGGUAUAUUUAUUAUUGACGGACUCACCGACAAUCCAUAAAUUACCGACGAGAGUUUUUUUGACAGACUAUUUAUGUCCGUGAGCCCGUUGGUAACAUAUGUAUCUACAGACUGCUAGUAUAAAUACCGACAAAAAUCCAGCAAAUUAAAAUCAUAAAAAAAAAAAUUAAUUUUGUUUUUAGAAAAUACAAUUUCAACCGCGUUACCAAACACUAACUUAGUGUGAAGGGAGUGGAAACACACAGGUUAAAGAUAAUAGGAAAGGGGGAAACUUGGAAUGAACUUGUUCAUGAUGCAUAAGAGAUAAGCCUGACGAAAUUGAGUGCAGUGCUGUCAGUGGUGAGACUGCAGUGCAGAGAAGACGAUAAAAGGAAGCGGUUUUUUAAAAAAUCAAGAUUAAUUACUUGCAGCUUCACUCUCAAGUUAUAUUAUUGUGUUUCAGCGCAGAUAGGUCAAAUGUCAUAUUUGUAUAUUCAGUUAAGGUCAUGCAGUUCAUAAACUUACAGGCAUUAGUCAUGGAUGUUCAAGGAAAAAAGGCAAAGCAUAUCAAUAUUCAAAUAAGUACUGAAUCCAAUGAUGGGUGUAAUUUAGGAACCUACAGAUUUGGGCUGUUUUGGAGGAAUGAAUCCUGCACUGUUCCAGUCAGCUUGUUGCCACUCAAAAACCUGGUAAGAACCACACUCAUACUAUCAGCAUAAUUUAUUGCGCCAUCCUUGAAAAGAUUUCAAUAACCAAAUUUCAAAAUAUCAGAAUUUAGCAUUGCUCACGUAAACUGUCGUCGUCGUAUUGUAUUAGGAGGAAUCUCCCCAACCAACUUGUUAAAAGUUAAGUCGCUGCAAGAAAUUACAGCAAACAAAAUUUUAGGCUUCAGUUUCUGAAGAAGAUUUUACAUCUUUGUAAAUAUAAUGGCAAUAAACAGGUGGAAAAAAAAAAUAUAUAUAUAUAUAUUAUUAAAUUCUUUGAAGUAAUCCUCUAUUUAUAUUCUUCCUUGGAGAGUUGCAGUUGCUUGAAAUCACUACCUUCUCAUAGGAGCUCAUCCGUUGUGAAAAUAAGUUAAUGUUAUGUUAGAAGCUAGUUGUGAUUCUUCUACUCACUCUAGUAGGACUUUAGUUAUUAUAUACCCAGGAUUAUAUAUUAAUGUAGGAUCUUUAACUUAUACUAACGACCUGAUGAUUCAGGCAGAUCCCACGCACCAGCUGUACAUGGAGAUCAUAUUGGAAAAAUGUAGCAGAAUUGAAAUGUAUAAAAAGAAAUUCUAAUUUUCUUAGCAGCAGAUGUAAGGCGAUGAGUGAAGUUCACACUUACAGUGUUGUUUCCACUUUCCAUGCGUUAUCUGGGAUUGUUCCAGUUAAAUUGAUGUUCCUCAGAACCCUGACAACAAGUUACAGGUUGGCUAAACAGUCUGAACAGAACAUAUCCUGAACUCUACUGAGAAAAGUUAUGAAGCAGUUCACAUACAGGGUAUCCCUUCGAAUCAUCACGUUAGAUAACUGAAACUCUGGUCCAGGCAUAUCAGCAAUCCUCCUGCAUAACAGUAAGAGACCUUGAAUACAACUUAAAUGUUGAAUUCCCUUCAUUUAUCUCUCCCUAUCUCUCACACACAGAGAAUUCUUCAAUAAUUAAUACAGCAGGAGGUAUGCAGCACAAUAAAGUGGUUUUACUCACAAAUCAGACAACUUUUCCAAUUGAAAAAUCGCAGGAGGUAUAGGUCCUUGCAAUCCAGUCGCGUACAAUUCACUUCAUUAGUCACGAAAAGAACAAAAAAUCUCAAUAAACUGUAUCAUGUUGCAUUAGAAUGAAUUAAGAUCUUGUGAAGAUAAACAUCUCACAGCUUUUGAAGUUGAGUCCAGUUCCCAAUGAACUCGGGUACGGUGCCAUUAAGAUUAUUAUCACUUACGCGACUGCACAUUGUAUAUGUUAAAUUAUAAAAAAAAAAAAAAAAAUUGUGUUUAAGGAAAAUAAGUGAGGGCUUACAAAUCCUUCAAGUCUUUUAUCUGCGCAAGUGCCUCUGGCAAGGUCCCCACCAACUUAUUGCCGGAGAGUAUACUGCAGUUGUUAAUUCACGGCAUCAAAGCAAAGAUUUCAACUAAUGAAAGCGAAAUCUCUGGCAAGUCUUCACAAUGGAGAAUUUAGUUAAAUGUCUUACAGAGUUUUUAAGUUCACAAGCUUGCCAAGCUCAGGUGGGACAACACCAGAAAACUGAUUUGAUUCAAGGCUCCUAUAUUUUAUAAUUGCAUUUGAUAAAGUGAAAUAACCAUUAGAGAACAAAGUAAACUAGCAUUGCUGGCAAUAUUCGAAUAACUCAAACUAGAGGUAGAGCACUGUAACAGAUUCAAGCCAUACAAGUAGGUGAGGGCAGUAAAACGUCCCAAAUGUGCAGGAAUAUUUCCUGACAAGUGAUUUGCGGUAAGCGAGCUGUAUAAGAGGUUGGUUAGUUGUGUUAAGCUCACUCUUACAUAGAAAAUAAGAUAAACCAAGAAGAGGGGUGGAUUUAUUAAUGAGCUUACAUGGAAGACAGAUAUUUCAUCGAAGCCCAUUCCACCGGAAUUGUGCCGUAUAGAUCGUUGCGAGUAAAAUCUCUGUCAUAGACAAUGUUGUUGUAUAAAAAUUAUUUUCCAUCUUGAAAUGUUAAUAUAAACUGUGACAGACAAUGGCAAACUCAUAAUCACAUAACAUCUGAUGAGUAUUAAUUAUCAUCGAGGCAUCUCAAGAUUCAUAAUCAUUUAAUGGAUUCAGAAUUGAGGCCUCGAAGCAGAAACAUGAGCCAAAUAUAUAUGUCCUUAAUUAAGGGUUCUUACAUUUUUUUGACAUAAGUAAGGUUGGCCAAUUCCGGAGGAAGCGUGCCUGGAAGACUGUAAUCUUUGAGCUGGCUUUAUUGCAAGCAGGAGAGAGAGACAUCAUUGGUCACAGUUUAGGAAAGCUAAGAUAUAUAUAUAAGAAAGAAAAACAUAAAAAUGUAAAGUAAUUAAGAGGCUUACAAUGAAGUAAUGUGACAGUAAUUAUCUUCAGUGAUGUUGCAGUUACAUUCGAUGGUGCAGUUGCUUUCCGGAGUCGGUUCAGUAAUGUCAACGACUCUGCCUGAUUUACAACGAUCUUCGAAGUUCAAGAAUGGUUGGCCGAUUUGUCUUAACGCUGCAGCUGGGGUUUUUUUUUACAAAAAAAAUUAAUUCAUGAGGAAUGUGCACUCUUCAAAACAUUCUCAAAUAGUUGUUAGAUCAUUAUUAUUAAUAAUAAAUAGAUUACGAUGGUGUUGUUUGGGGUAGAAAUGGGUUUUUCAUAUAGGUAAUGGCCAUACACAUGCAUUACACACACCAUCGACCAUUUGGAUCAAGUUAACUGGAGGCAUGUUUAAAAUUUGUAUUGCAUGUUUGGAGGUCAACCUUAAGAUUAUAUUCUUUUCAUUUUUUUAAAUGAAAUUGUUUGCAAUUAAAAAAAGAAGUCUAAAAUGAUAUUAUUUUAAAUAAAAAUUAAAAAUAAAUAUUAUUUGUUGACUCAAUUGGGUUAAUUAAAUUUAACUAUAUUAAUUUUUAUAUCAAUUUAAAAUAAAACACAGUCUAAAUCAAAUUCUAGAUUGAUUGCAGGGUAACUUUAAAAUAAUAUUAUUUUAAAAUAAUAAUUAAAAACAAAUAUUAUUUGUUAACUCAAUUGAGUUAACUAGAUUUAACUAUAUUAACUUUUAAAUCAGUUUAAAAUAAAACGUAAUCUAAAUUAAACUCUAAAUUAAUUGUUAAGUUUAAAUACUAUUACGAUAUGAUAUGAUGAUAAGAAUUUGUUAUGUAUAAAUAUUAUUUUAUUGUUAUUUGUACCGGUAGAUAUAUCUUAAAUAUUGGUAUAUGAUCAAACGAAAGAAAAAAAUCAUGAGUUCAAAUUCUAUAGUGAGUGCGACAUUUCUUGAAAAAGAAUUAGAUACAAAACAAAAUCACAACUUUUUGUUUUAUAUACGAAUCUAAUUAUAUAAAACAAAACACUCCAUAGAAGCUAUUUUGUUUUAUAUACGACCAAAGAUAUUUUUACUGUUUUUCAAGCAUUUGCAAAGUUUUGGUUAAUGUUGUUUAAUUGUGCGAGUCUCUUGAAGUUUAAUCCAAGAAAUACAAUUAGUAAACUUUAUUUGUAGAAGUUAUAUAUUCAUAUUAUUUUAUAUAAUAACUAGAAUUAAAAAAAAACGAGGGUAAUUCACUAAUCCCUCCUGACAAAUUAUUGUUAAUUGGAAUUAUAAUUUGUUUUUUUAAAUAUAAUUUUAAUUUUAUCUUUUAACAUUAGAUUUAUUAGAGAUUGAGUUUUAUAAAAAAAAAAUUAAUUUUUUUCUAUGAAGUUAUUCUAUUAUUAUAAUCUGGGUCAUUGAUUAUGCAAAUUAAUUUGAUUAACUUGAUUUUUUUAUCAUUUUUUUUAAUUGAAAUUUUUUUUUCAGUUUCUCCAUCAAUAUUGAGUUAACUGAAAUUAGAUUUCAUAAUUUCUUUUUUAAUGAAGUUAUCCUAACCUCGUGACACAAGUUCGGAAGGUUAACUCGAGUUGACUCAAGUUUUCUUUUUAAUUUUAUCCUCCAACAUUGAAUUUAUUAUGAAUUGAAAUUCAUAAUUAUUUUUCUAUUUGCUUUUUAUAGGGUUAUCAUGACCUUAUGACAUGUGUCUUGGAUUUUAUUUUUUUUUAAUUGAAUUUUUUUUAAUUACAUCCUUCAAUAUUGAGAAUUGAUCUUUAUGAUUUUUCUCAAUUUGCUUUCUAUAAAGUUAUUUGAUCUCAUAACCCAAGUUCAACAGGUUAAUCCAAGUUGAAUCAAGUUGUUUUUUUGUUAUUAAAUUUUCUUUUCAAUUUCAUCUUUUAACAUUAGAUUUAUUAGAGAUUGAGUUUUAUAAAAACAAAUUAAUUUUUUUCUAUGGAGUUAUUCUAUUAUUAUAAUCUGGGUCAUUGAUUUUUCAAAUUAAUUUGAUUAACUUGAUUUUUUUAUCAUUUUUUUUAAUUGAAAUUUUUUUUUCAGUUUCUCCAUCAAUAUUGAGUUAACUGAAAUUAGAUUUCAUAAUUUUUUGUUUUUUUAAUGAAGUUAUCCUAACCUCGUGACACAAGUUCGGAAGGUUAACUCGAGUUGACUCAAGUUUUCUUUUUAAUUUUAUCCUCCAACAUUGAAUUUAUUAUGAAUUGAAAUUCAUAAUUAUUUUUCUAUUUGCUUUCUAUAGGGUUAUCAUGACCUUAUGACAUGUGUCUUGGAUUUUACCUUUUUUUUUUUAAUUGAAUUUUUUUUAAUUACAUCCUUCAAUAUUGAGAAUUGAUCUUUAUAAUUUUUCUCAAUUUGCUUUCUAUAAAGUUAUUUGAUCUCAUAACCAAAGUUCAACAGGUUAAUCCAAGUUAAAUCAAGUUGUUUUUUUGUUAUUAAAUUUUCUUUUCAAUUUCAUCUUUUAACAUUUGACUGAUUAAUCUGUUGAAGUUUAAUGCAAGAAUUACAAUUAGUAAACUUUAUUUGUAAAAGUUAUAUAUUCAUAUUUUUUAAUAUAAUAAUAAUUAAAAAGAACUAAAAAAAAACGAGGGUACUUCACUAACCCCUCCUCACAAAUCAAUUUUAAUUGGAAUAAUAUAUAUAUAUCUAUAUAUAUAUAUAUAUAUAUAUAUAUAUAAUUUUUAUCUUUCAACAUUAGAUUUAUUAGAGAUUAAGUUUUUUAAAACAAACUUUAAUUUUUUUCUAUUGGAGCUAUUCUAUUCUCAUGACCUGGAUCAUAGGUUUUGUAGAUUAAUUUAAUUAACUUGAUUUUUUUGUUAUUUUUUUAAUUGAAUAUUUUUUUUCAGUUUCUCCAUCAACAUUGAGUUAAUUGAAAUUAGAUUUCAUAAUUUGUUUCAUUUUAUUUUAUGAAGUUAUUCUAACCUCGUGACACAAGUUUGUAAGGUUAACUCGAGUUGAUUUAAGUUAUUUUUUUUCUUUUUCAAAAAAAAUUUAUCCUCCAACAUUGAAUUUAUUAUGAAUUGAAAUUCAUAAUUUUCUUUCUAUUUGCUUGUAUAGGGUUAUCAUGACCUCAUCACACGUGUCUUGGAUUUUACUCUUUUUUUUUCUAAUUAUAUCCUUCAAUAUUGAGAAUUAAUUUUUAUAAUUUUUAUAGCCAGAUAUUCACUAAAUUAUUGUCCUUACCUAUUAAAAAGUUUAGAAGACGCAUCCAAAUAAACAAUCACCUCAAAAGCAAAAGGAAAAAAUAAUUGUUUUUCAAAAAAAUAAUAAUAAAUAAAUAAAAAGAAAACAUAAUCUUUUUUCAAAAAAUAAAUAAUAAAUAAAUAAUUUGAGCUUCUCUAACAAUAACAAUCAUAUAUAUUUUAUAGUUACAAAGGGUCACAAAAAUUAGAUAUGACUAAACCCAACGAGGGCAAAAAUAUUGUUAACCUAGUUAUCCAAAUUCCAACAAAGAUGAUACUAGAAAGUGCAGGGGAAACUUUCAUCUUGCCCAAAUGCCUAGUUUUCACCUUUUUUUUUAUGUUAUUCUCGUUCCAUUUACUAAAGUCUAAAAUAUAAUAAUUAAAUAUGUCUUAAUUACUCUUUAAUUUUAACUUCUAAGAAAUUCCUUUUAAUAGUACUCUCAAAAUAAUAAUAAUAAUAAGAAAAAAAUAUAAAAACGAAGAAGUAACAAAGAAAACCUAUAUUUUAAGGAUUGUAUAUUUUCUUAAAUAUUAUAUUUUGAAGAAUCUAAAUUAUCAAACUAAGAUUAAUAUCUAUAAUUACAGUAUUUUUUAGUUCCUAACACAUAUCUUUAAUAGUAAAGUCAUUGCAUCAUACAACAAUAAUAAAAUAUUAAGAAAAUAAAAUUGUUGAUGAUAUUUGAUACUAAAAUUUGAUCAAUUGAGUUAUUUGUUCAUAAAAUUCACAAUAUUUACCAACUCAAUGUUGAGUUUGUAAGGAUAAAAAAUUUACGUUGACUUUUAUUUUGUAUUUUUAAAAAAUAAAAUCAUGAAUAUUAAGGAAUAAUUUAAUAUAUUAUUUUUUAAAUAAUAAAAUCAAGUUCAUUUGAAAAUUAAUUACUUUUAAGAUUUUUAAAAAAUAAAAAACACAAUAUAAUAGGCUAUUUUGUUUUUCUACAAUAAAUAGAAUAACAAAAAUGGAAGUGGAAUAAAACCACCUUUUUUUUUGUUGUUUUUGUUUUAAUUCUUUUAUAAUAUUCAAAUUCAAUAUCCUUCUUUGAUUCCAAAGCACAAGAUAAUUUAUAUUGAUAAUUAUAUCCAUAUAAUAUAUAAGAUUUAAUAGUUGCGAUAAAAAGAUAUUUAGCCUUUAAAGGUGACAAGUGAGAAGCAAAUCUGUUGAUGUUUAUGGACAAAAAAAGAAGAAAAAACAAAAACUUAAUAUCCUUCUUUGACACUUGGUUUUGAUAAGAUGAGUUGGAAAGUUUGAAAGACUUGCUGUAUACUUAUAAGACCUCACCGAUCUGAUCUCAGUAUAUAUUACUGUGAAAACAAAGAACAGUGCUUGGGCAAUUAAUUAUUAAGUAGCUAGGUAGGUUAUUCUUACCUUCUGCUGGAUGUAGCUGAUCAGAAGCAAGCAAAGUAGUAGAGCUCGAGAAACUGAUCAUCACCAUAACCUGGCAAAGCUGAAACAUCAUUAACAUCUUGUGCUGCGAAAUUGACUGCGAAAGCUCGAAUAGGUUUUUGUAUUUGUCGACACAAGACAAGCAGGGAAGGAGAGGUUGAUUUGAUUUGUACUUCACUGUAUCUUAAGCUGUUCUUCGGUAGUAAAGUUGCCUGGCGAAUGCAAGUAAAUGUAUAGAAACUCAUUAAAUGUAUGAAAUAUUAUUAGAUGUACUUGAUUAAUUACUAAAUGUAAUAUAUUGAAAUAUUCAAUUUUUUUUUGAAAAUCAAAAUAAUAAUUCUCGUAUAAAUCUUCACCUCGUAUUUUCUUGGGUUCUCCUAGUUGCAGGUUGCAAGAUGUUGAAAUUUAUAAGAUAAGGAGGCAGACACGUAUCGAGGCAUUUGAGCCACAAAUUUAAUGACUACAAGCUAUGUUGAAUGAUUAAUAUUUGAACCCGACUUGUCAAUUUAUUGUACAGAAGUGAUUACUCAAAGAGACCCACAUUGCUUGAAGUCCAUUCCAUACUGCUGUAAAGUGUACUGAGAAAUAUAUUCGUGCCCAUUAAUAUAUUUUUUUUUUUUUGUUUUAAAUUAUUUUUUAUGCUUUUUUUUAGAUUGUUUUGAUGUUAUUAAAUUAAAAAUAAUUUUAAAAAAAUAAAAAAAUUAAUUUAAUAUAUUUUUAAAUAAAAAAUAUUUUAAAAAACACUACAUACUUGUGUUAGUCACGUUUUAAUGCCUCUGUUAGUCAUCAUUUGCUUUGAAUAUCACUGUGACACACUCUCGUUAUAACACAAAAAUAGUCUAGUCUCGUGACACGUGGGUUGUGCAUGUAUUAUAAAAAAUAAUAAUUAAUAAUAAUAAUUAUAGUUGUCUACCUACCUACCAGGGAGUUGUGCAUGUAUUAUAAAAAAUAGUCUAAAGCGGAGGCUGAAGCAUCAGAAACAUGUUUAGUAGGACAGAUUCUUAAAUUGGUGAGAUUUGAUUCCUUUUCAUUUCUAUCUCUCCAAACCGACAAGGAUUGAUUACAAGUUACCAGCUGGUAAUUAUCGCAACAGGUAAUUAAUUUCUCCACUUCUCUCUUCCUUGAUCAGCCUAAAUUAUUGAUAAAAUCAACAACACUGUAAUACUAAGUCCAAUUAAGCCUAUACGGUAUUUUGUACGUUAUACAUAUUUUUAUAAAUAUCUAGAAUUUUUAUAAAAUAUUUAUAUUAAAUAUCUUAAAAUUAUAAGAUAUUUAUCUUAAAAAAUAAACAAAUAUAUACAGGAGCAUAAAAAGAGAGGCUAGAAGGUCAUAACUCAUCUUUCUAGAUAACACAAGUCUACUAUAAAACUUAAACAAGGUGUAAGGAAUAUUUAAUAUUAGAAAAUACUCAUUCUCCUCGUCACCUGUUUAAACACUAUACUGACUUAAACAUUAGAAUGUUUUUCUUGCAAGUGUCACCGGCCCACCAAGUCCUUCGAAUCCAAUUUUAUCAACCCAGGAAAACCACUCACAAUCUUUCUCUUGAUGAUUUUUUCAGCCUUAUCAAUUGGCAUUGUCUAUGGAAAAUGAACAAAAAAUCAGUUUAUUCAUGCUUCUUAAAAAUUACUUUCAUGGUUGGCAAUACAUCUAUGGCUACACCAACGAUACAUGAUGCCAGCAGCUAAGCCAAUGACAUGUGAUGCCAACAUCUAAACCAGUGGUUAAGCACUCGACUACGCCCCACAUGACUACGCCAGCAAUUACGCCUGAUAUGGCUACGCCAGACACCCAAGGCAACACCCACGACUAUGUCUACGACUGCACUUAAUGGCUAUGCCCUAAGGCUACACCCACAAACAACUUUUUCUGGUGGCUUAUAUAUAUAAAAGGUGUCGUCAAGACUUGGGAGCUCUGUUGAUACACUAAAGGUAAGAUUACCCCCCUAUAAGUAUUUCCUCCCCCACUCUUCCUAGGUCAAGUCUUCCAAAAACAUCUAUUUGCAAGACCUGGUACAUGUAUGAAAAAACUACAAAGUAAUAUUAAUUUUUGGACCAAGUCCAAUCGGGCCUACACGAUGUUUUAUACAAUGUACACAUCUUCGUAAAUAUAUUUAUAAAUAUCUAUGAUAUUUUAAGAUAUUAAUAUUAAAUAUCUUAUAACUUAUAUAUUUAUGAGAUAUUUAUAUAAAAUAUAUUAAAACUUAGAUAUUUCUUAAGAUAUUUAUCUUAAAAAGGUCUAUAUAAACAAAUAUCUUUAGAAACAUAAAGAAAAAGGUCAAAAGGCCAAAGCUCAUCUCUCUAGACAACAUAAAUCUAAUGUAAGACUUGAACAAAACUUAAGGAACAUUUAAGCCUAGAGAAUACAACCUGAUUUCUAUCGGGUCCACUAGACGAUCAUGUCUUCAUCCACAAAUUCGGAUCGAAAUCCGAGUGGGUCGAAGGACGUCCCUGUAUCUCUCCCUCAACUGGCUAUUAUAUGUCUCCUUAAAAUAAAAAAGAAAUCAUCAAAUUCAAUUCAAGAAAACAAUAACUUACGAAAAAAACUAGUUGAACGAACAUACCACGAACUGUUGAGCGCGGUUGCCGACGAACUGUUGCACUCCAUUUUGGCAGUCUUCACUUCGAACGUGCGUCUCCACAAAAAGCUUCAUUGGGCUCGGCUCACAUCCAAGAGUCAUAGCUUGUAAGAAAAAAAAAUAUUACAAGUUAAAUAUAUUUAUAAAUAACAACAAAUUAAUUAAAGAUACAUGUCUUUAAAAUUAAUCUUACCAUCUGAUUCACAUGUGCAAUGAAUGGAACGAAGUUGUUGGUGUGCGUGGUAACCGAACCGUGAAUUUUUUGGUUCUGGUUCUCAGCACUAGACUGUAAGAGUCUUGUGAACCGGUCGGACAUCAUGUGCUGAAUAUACUAUGCCCAUAUAUCCUCCGAGAUGUAUGGCGACCUAAAAUUCCUCCAAACCGCCACGUUAUUCCAGCCUGGUAGAGCAUUAUCUCUAGCAUAUUUUUUAGCUUUUUUUGCGCUUUAUACCAAAAGUCACGCAACCUACAUGAUACAAAUGUAUUUUAUAUAAGUUAAUAACAAAUUAGAUUUUAAUAUAUAAAUUGUGUUUUUUUAAUAUUGUAUUGUUUUUUAUGUUACCGAGUUGCAGCGUGAUUCUCCCACAUUGUCCUCGCAAGAUUAUCAUUUAUGUUAUCCCACUCGAAUUUGUUCUGUGUAUAAAAAAUUUAUAAAAAAUAAAUCAAUAAUUUCAAUAUAACAUAAAAAAUAGUUAAAUUUUAAGUUAACACUGACCUUAAAUCUUCUAAACCAUGCAUCAAUAUAAGGUUUCCAAUUAGGAUGUCUGCAAACCUGGCUCAAUUAAAACAAUAGAAUUUCUAUCGACAAUUUAAACUCCGAUGUUUAUGAACCUGAAAAUCAAUAAAAUUAAUAAAAUAUUAGUUGUUCACAAAUUGUUAAACACAAACCAACUCAAAUCAAAACAAACUCCAAAACAAACUUACAUUGAAAGGUCGGCCUUCCAAUGUGCUAUGUACUUACGGGGGCAUUGUCCUUGCUGUGAAGGGACACUACCUCCAAAGCUAAAUUUUAUUAGAAGCAUCAAAGUCAUUAGUGGUAGCUCUAAUUUGCUUCAGAGAAAAUGUUCCCUUUGGAAAAUCAAGUCCUUUGACAUCUGUUCAAGUAGGAGACAGGACAUAAGGUGCCAACGAAUUGUCAGUCUUUUGAUAUAUUUACAGGAGAAAAGUAGACCAUGAAACUCCAUUGAAAAGAGGCAUUUUUCAUUCUCCAAUAUAAGCGUGUCUACCCAGAACUUUCCUCCUCCUCAGGAAAGCACCCUUACUACAUACAAUGCCAAUCAAACUUGUACAAUUAAUAAUUGUGUGUAAUCAUCUUGAGGUGAAAUAUCGCAGCCACUUGUAUAAGAAUAAAAGAUAAGCCCAUGAAACUUGAUGCUUCUUUUGCUUUUCUUUUCCCUAAAUGUCCAUGCAUAAUUUUAGCAAAGAAAUCUCAAGUUGUUUCCAUCUAGUUCAUAAUCUCAUACUAGAAACAAAACCAAAUCCAUAGGAUGCUGUUUGAGGCUGCAGUGUUUGGGCAGCUAUGUAAGUUAUACCCACAUAUAAUUUUUCCUACAUCUGGCAAACAUGGAUGCAGCGUGGAAUUUUAUUAGACUACUAACACAAACAUGGGUAAAUAAUAUAUAUGGCGUUACCUCUUUUCCUGUGCAAUUUUCCUGGCAAGUUUCCUUUCCACCAAAGAAUUACCAGUAUAAUGGCAACCAGGCAUGAUGCUCCAACAGCUCCAACAACCACAUAAACAGCUCCCUUCUUUUUCCCACUAGAACAAACUUUCAAAUCUGCCCAUUAAACAGAAAAAUUGGUCACAAUCACACACAGAUUGGAUAUUUAAACUAAAAUGACACUUCCUUAAAUUACAUGAGUUUCUCUGUAAUAAUUUACCCAAAUGGGACUUAGAUGCCAGAAUCUGAAUAAUACUCUCUUGAGGUACCAAACUAUUUUAUCAUAAUAUUGGAGAACUUAUAAAUAAAAUAGUUGUUUCAUACUAUCCACGCCUUCCUGAGUCUCUGUUACCCUACACUACAUUUACAUUUACAGGGGAAGGAGAGGAGAGGAUAAGUGACCAGGAGAGAGGAGAGGAGAGGAGAGGAAAGGUAGGCAUAUUGUUGUGGAUCUCAACCCAUAAUUUAAACAGAGACCAAGUGCUAUCCAGCAAAGGAAGGUCAAAUAUAAGAAACAUAUCAAAAUUUGUUAUGCAGCCCUAAAAUCUUCUUCUUUAGCACAGUGGUGCUGAUUUUAAAUCAAUCAUAUGUACAUGCACUGCUGAUAAUUGUAUGAUCGAGAAUAAAUGUCAAACAGACAACUUACCAGAAAAUACAGAGAUGGCUGAUAUGAUGGGACCGUAAACUCCCCUAUCAGGAAUCCUUGUUGUCCCUUUUCCGGAAAAAUAGAAUCUGAUCUCCAACAUAUUAUUGGUCACAUUGACAUUCAAUACUUGCUUCACUAAAGGCUUUUCAGCACUGCCAACCUCAUCUUCAAUAUUGAAAUCUUUCGAAACCAAUCUUUCCUGUGACACAGUAGUCCAGCUAAGUCCUUACUGAAGGAAUUAGCAAUUUAUAUAGAAAUGUAAUAGAAAUGAAGAAGAGCAAAGAGUAUAAAGGAAGAAGAACAGAGAAUCAAACUGUUAGUAUAGAAGUAGAAGACGAAUUCUAGCACUGUUGUAUAUUUGCUUUUGCUUAACUAUUACAUUCAUUAUUCUCUGUUUAUAUAUGCAGCAUAGGAAGAUACUAUACAGAGAAAUAUGCAUGCUAACAGAUUCUCCUUUAACAAAUAAUGCUAACAGCUUUGUAACAAUAUUAAUUGCUAAUCUUCUGACACUUGGCAGCCUUAGGAUCGUUGAUAUCUUUACAUGCUCCCUCAAUCACAAGCUGGGAGGAACCAAGCAUGAGAUUGGAACAAUGAUGCUGAAAUAGAGAAAUGGAAAGGCCUUUGGUGAGGAUAUCAGCAAACUGAUCACAAGAGGAGACAUGCUGAACCAGUAAAUCACCCAUGAUAACCCGCUCUCUCACAAAAUGAUAAUCAAUCUGAAGAUGCUUCAUCCUGGAAUGGAACACUGGAUUGGAAGCAAGGGAGAUAGCAGAAAUAUUAUCAUAAUGAAUUAAAGGUGGAAGAAGUAAAGGAAUAUGAAUGUCACAUAGGAGCUGACGAAUCCAGGCAAGUUCAGCAGCAGUGAUUGCGAGAGCGCGAUAUUCAGCCUCCGUUGACGAACGAGAAACAAUAUGUUGUUUCUUAGAAGCCCUAGAAAUAGGACUGGAACCAAAAUACACAAGAGAACCAGAGACAGACCGGCGGUCAUUAGGAUCUCCAGCCUAGUUGGCGUCACUGUAGGCCUGCAAAUAAAGAGGACCGGGACGAAAGUGAAGGCCAAGAUGUAGGGUACCUUUGAGAUAUCGUAAAAUACGUUUGACGGCGACAACAUGAGAAACCAUUGGAUUAUGCAUGAACUGGCAAGCUUGAUUCACCGAAAAGGCAAUAUCAGGCCUGGUGAAAGUGAGAUAUUGCAAGGCUCCCACAAUGCUCCUGUAUUGCUGCGGAUUAGAAUAGGGGUGGCCAUCAUCCUUGAGCAAGUGAUGAUGAGGAAGACAAGGAGUAGCACAAGACUUGGAAUUCUGCAAAUCAACCCUGGCAAGUAAGUCAGUGACAUAGCUGGUUUGAGAUACAAAUAAUCCACUAGGCAGAUAGGAAAUCUGCAGCCCCAAAAAAUGAUGCAAGGGACCCAAAUUUGUGAGGUCAAAUUCUUGAGACAGAGUAGUAAUAACAGAUGAAAAAAAGGAGGAAUGGAUGCCAGUUAGAAUGAUAUCGUCAACAUAGAGGAGUAAGAGCAGAGUGCCAUGAGAAGAGUGCUGAACAAAUAAAGAGGAAUCAGCAAGAGAUGCUUGAAACCCUAAGCUGGGCAAAAAACUUGUGAAGCGCUCAUUCCAGGCACGAGGAGCCUACUUAAGACCAUACAAAGACUUCCUCAGCCGGCAAACAAAAUCAAAGGGAUGAGCCUUGUCGCACCCGACAUCGCGGCGGCCCUAAAAAUUAAUAAAUCCUUGGAAAGAACGGAUUUCUGGCAUCCUGUUCUUUAAUGUGGUAUUCUUGUUUAAGAAGUCGCCACCUAGUAUUAUGGUCACUAGGAACCCUAACUGGUCAACAUAGAUUAUAUGGUUCGAGACUGGUUACGUAAAAGGGAAGAUAUUAUCACCCCUUAAACGUCCUGCCUCAGGCAGGCUGCAUUGCUAGUUUCGUCUUAAAUUGAUAAAUGUUUAUUAGUUUACGUUAUGAUAAUUUGCUUAUAAUAUUCCUGACUCUGGCGGCAGUGAAUAUUCAACUACGGAUAAUUCCAACUCUGGCAUUGGUAAAUAUCACGUAGCUUUAAAAUAAAUUAAAUCAAUAUUUUUUAUUCCCGACGUAGCUAAAAAAAAUAAAUGUAAAUCAAAUGUUUUUUUUUUAUUCCCGACUCUGGCGCCAGUGAAUAAAUAAAUAAUACUACAUUUAUUUUUACGCAUGCACAUAUUUUUUAUUUUUCUAGCUAAAAUAAAAUAAAAUACAACGAAUAAAAAUAAUAUAAAUUUAAACCGGUAUUCUUAUUCCUGACUCUGGCGUCAGUGAAUUAACCAAUAAAUUUACAUUAUUUUUAUUCAUCCAAAUAAAAUAAAAUACAACGAAUAAAAAUAAUAUAAAUUUAAACCGGUAUUUUUAUUCCUAACUCUGGCGUUAGUGAAUAAACCAAUAAAUUUACAUUAUUUUUAUUUAUGCAUACACAUUUUUUUUUAUUGUUUUGGGCUGGGCUCGGCCCGGCACAACCCAACAUUUAUUUUUGGGCUGGGCCCAACUCAGCCCAUAUGGGCUGGGCUAAGCCCAGCAGCCCGGCCCGGCCACUGGCCCAAGCCAGUGGCCUGGCCGGGCAAAAAUCAACCAGAAGCACGCGUGCUGUAUACUGUGCAAAGGUAAUUAAAAUUACCUUCGCACAGUAAUAACCUUAUUGUAUCUGCGAAAACGAAAGAGAAUUCAAUGAAAACUAAAGAAAGCUUACCUGCUCUGCUGGAGUGCUGCUGUUUUGGGCGAAGAUCUGUGAAGGCGUUCCUCCUGGCGAAACUGGAAUUCCUUCUACCCUUUGCUUUCCUGCCCUCUGCUUCUUCUUCUCUCGGUAGUUCGUCUCCCCUCUACUUCUGGUUGUCCGUUCGUUCUCCCCUGUGUUUUUUCCGUUCUCUAUGUGCUGCGUGUGUUUUGUUCUCGGUUUUCUCCCUGCUUCAUCCCCCACUGAUUUUCGUUUCCAUCCCCUCUGUUGCUGGUCUGUUCGUCCUGGGUUUUUUUUUGGGUUCCCGUUUUAUGCUGGGUUUUUCUUCCCCUGGUGUCCUUGCCUCUUUGGUGUUUUUUUUCGUUUCUGGUAUUUUGCUCUCUUUCUCUCCCCUCCCGUCAACCUGGUUUCGGUUCCCUUUUUAUAGAGCUCGAGAGCUUCCCCCCUAAAUCAAUCCCAUCUUUGCAGGACUGUUAUUCAAAUCACGAGAGGGAUUAUGCGCAAGAGACGUGGUCCACGAUUGGAUCAAAUUUGUUGCAGAUCUUCAGCCUUUUGAACCGCGAUGGAGACGACGAACACAGCUGUUCCCAGCAACGGCGACGUUUUCAAGCAACCCGUGGACAUUUUCAAUUUGACACCUGAACUUUGGAAAUUUCGCAAUUGGACCCCUAAGCAAAUAAAAAUUUCUUUCAAUUUUGCCCUUUUUGGAUAAAUUUCAAUUAAGUCCCUGAAUUUAUUUAAUUAAUUAAAUCAAAGUUUUAAUUAAGUCCACAAACUUAUUAAUUCUUCUAAUUUCAUUAAUUAAACUAAUCUAAACUUUAAGUAAAUUUCCAAACUUAUUAAUUCUUCAAUUUCUGACCAAUUUAUUCUCAAAUCUCAUAAUUUUAUCCCUAAAUUUCAAAAUUUGUUGUCUUAACCCCAUUGUCAACUAUAUUUUAUUAUUUGUUCAAAAAUUGGGUUAUGACAGUUGCCCCCUCUUUAUAAUAUUUACAAUACCAAGAUAUUGGAAAAUUUCAUUUUCCUUAGCUUUGUAUAGUAAAUUUAUAAAGAAAAGUAGAUACGGAAAAGGAGUCUUGAAAACUUUGAAAACAGUCGAUUGACAUAUAACUUUUUACAGAGAGAACAAGUCAUUUGGAAGACAGCUUAUUUAUUUUUUUUAUUUUUUUAUUGUUUUUUUUUUGUGAUGGUAUAUUGUAAUGGGUUACCGGCCCAGAUGGUCACAUUAUAAUGGGUUACCUGCCCAGUAUAGGAUGGUAUAUUGUGAUGGGUUACUGGCCCAAAUGGUCACAUUGUAAUGGGUUACCUGCCCAGUAUAGGAUGGUAUAUUAUAAUGGGUUACCGACCCAAAUGGUCACAUUGUAAUGGGUUACCUGCCUAGUUGGUAUGUUGUAAUGGGUUACCUGCCUAGUUGGUAUGUUGUAAUGGGUUACCUGCCCAGUAUAGGAUGGUAUAUUGUAAUGGGUUACCGACCCAGUUGGUAAAUUGUAAUGGGUUACCAGCCCAGGUGGUCACAUUGUAAAGGGUUACCUGCCCAGUUGGUCACAUUGUAAAGGGUUACCUGCCCAGUUGGUAUAUUGUAACGGGUUACCAGCCCAGAUGGUCACAUUGUAAUGGGUUACCUGCCCAAUUGGUAUGUUGUAAUGGGUUACCUGCCCAGUUGGUCACAUUGUAAUGGGUUACCUGCCCAGUUGGUAUGUUGUAAUGGGUUACCAGCCCAGAUGGUCACAUUGUAAUGGGUUACCUGCCCAGUUGGUCACAUUGUAAUGGGUUACCUGCCCAGUUGGUAAAAUACAAGGAAUUUUUUUAUUUUUUUUUAAUAAGACGAGGGCUCGAAGGCGCGCUCGAAUGUAGAUAAGACGAGGGCUCGAAGGCGCGCUCGAAUGGAGGUAGGAUAGAAAAUGCACUACCUUUGAUGGUCGAGGGCUCGAAGGCGCGCUCGAAUGGAGGUAGGAUAGAAAAUGCACUACCUAUGAUGGUCGAGGGCUCGAAGUCGCGCUCGAAAAGAACUCAGACGAGGGCUCGAAGGGGCGCUCGAAUGGAGGUAAGACGAGGGCUCUAAGGCGCGCUCGAAUGGAGGUAGGAUAGAAAAUAAACUACCUUUGAUGGUUGAGGGCUCGAAGACGCGCUCGAAAAUAAAUAAGACGAGGGCUCGAAGGCGCGCUCGAAAAUAAAUAAGACGAGGGCUCGAAGGCGCGCUCGAAUGUAAGACGAGGGCUCGAAGGCGCGCUCGAAUGGAGGUAGGAUAGAAAAUGCACUACCUUUGAUGGUCGAGGGCUCAAAGGCGCUCUCGAAAAUAAAUAAAACGAGGGUUCGAAGGCGCGCUCGAAUGGAGGUAGGAUAGAAAAUGCACUACCUUUGAUGGUCGAGGGCUCGAAGGCGCGCUCGAAAAUAAAUAAGACGAGGGCUCGAAGGCGCGCUCAAAUGGAGGUAGGAUAGAAAAUGCACUACCUUUGAUGGUCGAGGGCUCGAAGGCACGCUCGAAAAUAAAUAAGACGAGGGCUCGAAUGCGCGCUCGAAUGUAAGACGAGGGCUCGAAGACGCGCUCGAAUAGAGGUAGGAUAGAAAAUGCACUACCUCAGGUGUGGAAACUGAAAGGUGGUGAAAAAAUACAUAGAUUUUUCUGGUGGCCUAAUUCUCAUGGGCGACCUGCCUAGGUUGAACAAUUCUCAAAAAUGAAAAAUUUUCAACAGCAAUUUUGAUCUUUGGCCAUUUCAAGUUGGCCUUCCACUUGAUGGAUUCUGUUUGAAUUUUUUUCUAAUGCAGAAAUCAUUGCUCAAUGUCUCAAAGUUUAGAUGAUAUGCAUGCAUCUUUACCUGAUUUGAAAUAUAGGCCCCCAUUUCUUCACAAUCUUCUUGUUGAUUAGUUGGUGAGAUCUGAUUUAAGUCAUCUUUGUCGCUUGACUUCCAACCCACUCGAGUUGGCCCAUGUAAGUCUACUUCCAAAUUUGUUUUCAUAACUCAGCAUUUGUGGUGCCCAUCGUGACCCACUUGCUUGCUAAAGAUUUUCUGAUUCGUCAAAUAAUUUGAGAGGAUUAUUCAUUACCCCUCGUCUCACUACUAAAAACAUUCGGUAUCACUUGCUAAAAGGAUCGAGCUGUCUUUUGUAAACCAAAAUGCCCCCUUAUCUUGUUGUAAUGGAUGAUAGGUUUUCCUUCAACACAAUGUUGUCCCCUUGUACUGGUCAUUGACCCCAAGUGUGCUAUGUUACUGGCUUAGAUGAAUAAUGAUUGUAAGAGGUCAUUCUCUCUUUUGGUGAAGGAAUAUGAGUCUAGAAUGAAUCUUGAAAUCUUGAUCUUGCAUUUUGAAAACAAAAAUUAUUUCGAUGUGAGUCUAAAAUAAUUUGCUUUUGAAAUCUUGCAACUCCUUGGUUAUUUUCUUUCUUGGAAAAGAGAUUAUUUGCUCUUGUGUUUGGUAAUGAGGUCUUCGGUGAAAAUAUAUCAUGAGAUGACCUUUUGUUUCGAAGUGAAGGGCUCGAGAAAAAGCUCGAGGUUUUGUAAGAGAAAAACUUGUCUCUUUUUGAACAUUUAUUUUUAUCAGCAUGAAUAAUAAUGAGUAGUUUAUUCUUGAUGUCAUGAAUCUUAUGAAAAAGUAUCUUUGCAUUUUGAGAGCAUUGUUUAUUGUUCUAGGUUGCUUGCUUGCUUGAUUAGAAAGGACUUUUACAGGCACGUAACGUAGGCUGUAGUUUUCGGCUAUGAAAGAAAAGGAUAUAAAGCUCAAAGAGUGUUUCAGGGUUUCAAAGACUGAAGAUCACGAUCAAUAGUUUGACUUUUGGCGUCAUUCAUGUUAUCUUUUGCCGCUCUUCUUUGAUUUGCCCCUUUUUUUUUUUUCAUUGCUUUGCUAGAGCAUACUCAUUUUAUCUUGGUUAUCACUUUUUCUUGUGAUUUGGGCAUGCCCCCUAGCAUUUGAGUUUCUUGGGCUCUUUUGCCUUUUGGCUUUCUCACGGCUUUAUCCUCUUUCUUGAUCAUUGAAAUUUCACUUGCCCCUUUUUUUUUUGAUGUGGGCAUGAUCCCUAGCAUUUGUGUUUCUUGGGCUCUUUUGCCUUUUGGCUUUCUCACGGCUUUAUCAUCCUUCUUGAUCAUUGAAAUUUCACUUGCCCCAGUGUAGGGUGUGAUCUUAGUCGGGAUUUUUUAUGAAAGAAAAAUUAUUCAGGCUCAAAAAGGGUUUGCAAGGGAUGUACUUAUUUUAGAACGUGAAAGGAAUAACAAAGAUGGCCUUUCCUCAUUUCAAGCGCAAGCAGCUAUGAUCAAUAAACUUUGACCUCGUAUAGUGUGAUGGUUUAUUCUUUGCAAAGAUGCAUUUCAUGAGUUAUGAGCAACAAGUUCACUACAUACCAUUAUUCAUACAUUUAAAAACACAUGAUUCAAGAGUAAUGGGGUAAGGGUGUUUAUUCUUUUUUUUUCACAAUUGUUUUUAUAAUUUAGUCACCUCAAUGAUGGAGUUGCUUGAUUCACUUGUCAUUCUACAAGUAGAAUGUCAAAAAUAUCGUUUUUGAAUAAACAUCAAAUUAUUUUUUGAAAUCAAAAUGCCAGAUCAAUUUUUUUUCAAAACUCCAAUAGGGAAACUGAUUUUUGGUAAAAGAGAUGAAUUGCGUCUAUGAGAUCGCACAAGGCUUCAAAGAUGUGUUUGUGAAUCUUUAUAAGAAAACUCUCUCAGAAAAAUGAAUAAUGCUAAUCGUAAACACGAUUGAAUGACAAACUCAUUAUUUUCAUUGAAACUUUAGAAAAUAAGUUCAACAAGAAAGAACUUAUGACAACAUCUUGGGCUAUGAAUACUGGCAUGAUAACAUAUAAAGGGGCUAAACAUUUAGCGAUCAUUGAUUGGAAUUUCUGGAAUAUUUCAAUCAUUCAUUCUCCUCGACAAGGGCAUCUUUUCAACAGUCAAUUGAAAUCAAAUGUAGAUCAUUCUCGACCUAAUAUCACCAUAGCUUUAUCUUCAAGAUAGUUGAUUUCUAGGAGUCGAUGUGAAGCAAUUAGCUAUAGAAAUGAUAAGUGCCUUGGCAACCACCUUCAGUGAAACCGUUCUUCUCAGUCGGGUUAGCAAUCUUACCUAACCCAAUGGCUUGUUCAAUCCUCUCAGCUAUAACAACCAGGUCAGUGAAAUGUUGUGCAGAGCUUCUAACCAAGUAUUCAAAGUACGGAGCUUUAAAGGUGUCGGAAAAUAAAUUGAUCAUCUCUUUUUCCAACAUGGGAGGGUUAACUUGUGCAGCUAACUCACUCCAUCUCCGGGCGUAUUCUCUUAUGGACUCCUUGUUGUCCUUCUCCAUAGCUUGCAAGCUUAAACGAUCAGGGCCCACGUCUAUAUUGAACUUAUAUUGCCUCAUGAAGGCAUCAACUAAAUCCUUCCAUUUUUUAACCUUGGUAUUGUCCAACCGCAUAUACCAAGUGAGGGCAACAUUACUCAGACUGUCUUGAAAUAAAUGAAUCAGCAGUUUCUCAUCAUGAACCACCUCAGCCAUUUUGUUGCAGUAUGCUUUGAGAUGAUAGGGCAUUGAGUUCCCGUAUAUUUAACAAAUUCUGGCACUCUAAAUUUUUUUUGGAAUGACCACGUUGGGCAUCAAACACAUCUCAACAGCCUUUAUAGGAUCAUAUAGGUGAAUUCCCUCAAAUGCCCUCAUCCUUUGUUCUAGGGCAAUGAAUUUGUUCAGCUCAUCUUCUUUUACCAUUUUGCUCUUUUGAGAUUCAUUCUUUGUAGAAUCAAUAGUAAACGACAUUCUCGUGAGGUAUGCUGGAUGAAAAUGCAUGGCUUGUUGAAAAUCAGAUGAAGGGAUUUACACGCAUAGGUUCAGGCUGAGCUAUAAGUGUUGCUUUUCCGGAUUUAUCUCUCAAGGACUGCUCGAGUAGACUAGUAAGCCUUGCGACUUCUUCUUUAAGAUUGUCCACCUCUUUUUGAUGUUGGGCUUCCAACUAGGCUCUUUCUUCAUCUUCCAUUUGUCUUUUUCUCGAAUGGGCUUCAAUGGGGAGCCUAUAUUUUAACCUGCUAUAUGUAAAUCUUGCAAUUAUGCAAAAAUGUUGAUUCAAUUAAAAAUGCUAUGGAAUGCAGACACGUCCUUCACGGGAUGACAACCUAAUAGGAAGAUCCUAAUUGUUGAGUGCAUCAAAGGGUUGGUCAUUAUCUAGUUUCAAAGGGUCUCUCGCAUGCUCAGUGAUCGUCCAUGAAAGGUCGAUAUGAGGCUUACAAGUAGUGUGAAAAUAGAGGCCCUGAGUAAUAUCAGUUUGGCAUAUCAACCACUUCCAAGUAAACAAUCAAGCGAGAGUUGGAUGGUUUCACGAGUCUUACCCAGGCUAAAGCCAUUGGGGUACCGUUACUUUCCCACUUAUCCUAGAUUUUCAGGUGUGUGCUCUCAACGUGAUGCAUGACAAUAUAAACAUGGAUGCAUGCUAAAGCAGUAAAUUCAAGAAAAAUAAACAAAUAAACAUAACAUAAAAAACAUUAUAACAAUUGAUAAACAAAAGGCAAAGCUUAGUCCAUUAGUCCCCAGUGGAGUCGCCAUUCUGUCGCACCCGACAUCGCGGCGGCCUUAAAAAUUAAUUAAUCUUUGGAAAGAACGGAUUUCUGGCAUCCUGUUCUUUAAUGUGGAUAUUCUUGUUUAAGGAGUCGCCACCUAGUAUUAUGGUCACUAGGAACCCUAACUGGUCAACAGAGAUUCUAUGGUUCGGGACUGGUUACGUAAAAGGGAAGAUAUUAUCACCCCUUAAACGUCCUGCCUGAGGCAGGCUGCAUUGCUAGUUUCGUCUUAAAUUGCUAAAUGUUUAUUUUUUGUUAUGAAAAUUUGCUUAUAAUAUUCCUGACUCUGGCGCAGUGAAUAUUAACUACGAAUAAUUUCCAACUCUGGCGUUGAUAAAUAUUACGUAGCUUAAAAUAAAUUUAAAUCAAUAUUUUUUAUUCCCGACGUAGCUAAAAAAAAUAAAUGUAAAUCAAAUGGUUUUUUUUUUAUUCCCGACUCUGGCGCCAGUGAAUAAAUAAAUAAUACUACAUUCAUUUUUACGCAUGCAUAUAUUUUUUAUUUUUCUAGCUAAAAUAAAAUAAAAUACAACGAAUAAAAAUAAUAUAAAUUUAAACCGGUAUUCUUAUUCCUGACUCUGGCGUCAGUGAAUUAACCAAUAAAUUUACAUUAUUUUUAUUCAUCCAAAUAAAAUAAAAUACAACGAAUAAAAAUAAUAUAAAUUUAAACCGGUAUUUUUAUUCCUAACUCUGGCGUUAGUGAAUAAACCAAUAAAUUUACAUUAUUUUUAUUUAUGCAUACACAUUUUUUUUUAUUUUUUUGGGUUGGGCCCGGCCCGGCCCAGCUCAGCAUUUAUUUUUGGGCUGGGCCCAGCUCAGCCUAUAUGGGCUGGGCUAAGCCCAGCAGCCCGGCCCGGCCACUGGCCGGGCAAAAAUCAACCAGAAGCACGCGUGCUGUAUACUGUGCAAAGGUAAUUAAAAUUACCUUCGCACAGUAACAACCUUAUUGUAUCUGCGAAAACGAAAGAGAAUUCAAUGAAAACUAAAGAAAGCUUACCUGCUCUGCUGGAGUGCUGCUGUUUUGGGCGAAGAUCUGUGAAGGCGUUCCUCCUGACGAAACUGGAAUUCCUUCUACCCUUUGCUUUCCUGCCCUCUGCUUCUUCUUCUCUCGGUAGUUCGUCUCCCCUCUACUUCUGGUUGUCCGUUCGUUCUCCCCUGUGUUUUUUCCGUUAUCUAUGUGCUGCGUGUGUUUUGUUCUCGGUGUUUCUGUCUUUUUUGUUCGCUUCUCCUAGACUUCCUCUUCGUUUUCUGGGUUUUCUCCCUGCUUCAUCCCCCACUGAUUUUCGUUUCCAUCCCCUCUGUUGCUGGUCUGUUCGUCCUGGGUUUUUUCUGGGUUCCCGUUUUAUGUUGGGUUUUUCUUCCCCUGGUGUCCUUGCCUCUUCGGUGUUUUUUUUCGUUUCUGGUAUUUUGCUCUCUUUCUCUCCCCUCCUGUCAACCUGGUUUCGGUUCCCUUUUUAUAGAGCUCGAGAGCUGCCCCCCUAAAUCAAUCCCAUCUUUGCAGGACUGUUAUUCAAAUCACGAGAGGGAUCAUGGGCAAGAGACGUGGUCCACGAUCGGAUCAAAUUUGUUGCAGAUCUUCAGCCUUUUGAACCGGGAUGGAGACGACGAACACAGCUGUUCCCAGCAACGACGACGUUUUCAAGCAACCCGUGGACAUUUUCAAUUUGACCCCUGAACUUUGGAAAUUUCGCAAUUGGACCCCUAAGCAAAUAAAAAUUUCUUUCAAUUUUGCCCUUUUUGGAUAAAUUUCAAUUAAGUCCCUGAAUUUAUUUAAUUAAUUAAAUCAAAGUUUUAAUUAAGUCCACAAACUUAUUAAUUCUUCUAAUUUCAUUAAUUAAACUAAUCUAAACUUUAAGUAAAUUUCCAAACUUAUUAAUUCUUUAAUUUCUGACCAAUUUAUUCUCAAAUCUCAUAAUUUUAUCCCUAAAUUUCAAAAUUUGUUGUCUUAACCCCAUUGUCAACUAUAUUUUAUUAUUUGUUCAAAAAUUGGGUUAUGACAAGCCUUACUAACAAAGCCCUGAGGUUGUGUCAUAUAAACCUCCUCAUGAAGAAUGCCAUGCAAGAAGGCAUUCUUCACAUCAAGUUGCCGCAAGGACCAAUGAAAGUGAGCUGCAAGGGCAAGAGCUAGGCGAACAGUGGUGGGUUUCACCACAGGGCUGAAGGUUUCUCCAUAGUCAAUACCCUCCUCUUGACUAAACCCCUUAGCCACUAACCGAGCCUUAUGGCGAGCAAUAGAACCAUCAGCAUGCUUCUUCAGCCGGUAGACCCAUUUACAGCCAACAAGAUUUCUGUCAGGUGGCAAAGCAACAAGGUCCCAAGUACCUUGGGCAUGAAGAAGAGAAAAACUGGAGUUUUUGAAGAAGAGAAUCUGUUUAGGCAAUAUAUCAAAUACCUGAUGGGCACAUCAAUAAGUACACAAGAAUUUUUAUGAAGAAGAUGAGAAUAAAGCUAGAAUUCAGACAUCAAUGGCCAAAAGAUCAAGAGUUACACAGCUCUGAUACCAUGAAGGAAUUAGCAAUUUAUAUAGAAAUGUAAUAGAAAUGAAGAAGAGCAAAGAGUAUAAAGGAAGAAGAACAGAGAAUCAAACUGUUAGUAUAGAAGCAGAAGACGAAUUCUAGCACUGUUGUAUAUUUGCUUUUGCUUAACUAUUACAUUCAUUAUUCUUUGUUUAUAUAUGCAGCAUAGAAAGAUACUAUACGGAGAAAUAUGCAUGCUAACAGAUUCUCCUUUAACAAAUAAUGCUAACAGCUUUGUAACCAUAGUUUUGAAACCCGGAUCGACCCGGGCAUGGGACCGGUCCGGGUGGAGGCCAAAACCCGCUUGGGAAUUGGCCCGGCCAGACCCGGUCGACCCGGGACCCGGUUGACCCGGCAAGACCCGGUCAAGACCCGGCCGUAAACCCGUUGACUUUUUGUUUUUUUUUACUAAAAUGACGUCGUUUUGAUAUUUUUUUUAAAAAUUAAAAAAUAAAUUUUGACCCGGCAACCCGGUCAAAACCCGGAACCCGGGCCUUGGACCGGGCCGACCACCGGGCCGGGUUUUAAAACUAUGUUUGUAACAAUAUUAAUUGCUAAUCUUCUGACACUUGGCAGCAUUAGGAUCGUUGAUAUCUUUACACUUGCUUCCAACUUCAAAAAAAAUUAAGUUUCACAUUAGAGUGACUACUUACCUGAACAUAAAUGUCAAAAACACGCCAGCCUAAGCUGUUAUAUGUAUGGUCAUUAGUGAACUGUAUCUCUUCAAAGUGAAGGUUUACUGUGUAGCUCCCAUUUUGUAAGCAAUAAUGGAAAUAGGUAAGAGAAAUUGGGGAUAUGCGAGCUGUUUGGUAUAAUUCAGGGAUGGUUGAUGAUUGCAGAGAUACAGUAUAACGAGUAUUUUGGUAAUCAUAAUCAUCCAUAAAGUUCCCAGUGCUACUGAAACCCCAGAAGCUUUGGUCAUUUACAAAAUAUUUAGCUGCACCACCUUCUAUUUGUCCAUCUCCUUCAUAUGACAAGGUUGUUUUGUUUUCAUUGAUAGUUAUGUCCUUUCCACCACUGUUAACAUGUAAACAGUUUGAAUCUGCCCACAAAGAAAUAAAAUGAGAGCAGAUAAAAGACAUUUGAACAUUUUAUUUAGUCCAUUGUUCCAGUCUACGUUAGUUGAUUGAAGUACAUUGUUUACUUAUUACAGCCGAAUGUGUUAUUACACCUGUGCAGGCUGAAACAGUAACUAUUAUACCCAGUUUAUUAAUGAAAAAGCAACCAUUUUUUGCAGUUGUGGUUAGGACAUAGACAAUCCUAUAUGUCAUUGUAGCUUUUCUGCAUGAGAUAUAACACUUUUAAAGGAAAAACACUGCAUUUACUAUGAAUAUAAAAUCAUUGCACUACGAAUCAUGCUAUAGAGAUAGUGUGUUUGUCCUGUAAAUGACAUUGCAGUGUCAUGAAGGCAUUAUCUUUACUGCUUUUUAGUCAAAAAAAUAUUAUUAAGAGUGUUAUGUUUUUUGUUUUUUGUGCCAAAAGUUGUUGGGUCUAGUUAUAAAAGUGUUGGGUUUGGCUUGGCAGCUAGACCCAAUGCUAUUGGAUUCGACUUUCAGCCACACCCACCAAUUUUAGGUCUGUCUGGGCCGUCAUAUAUUUUCUUAUUUAUUUUUUAUGGGAUUAUCACAAUCUUAUGACUCGGGACGAGAAUUUAACAGGUUAACCUGAGUUAAUCCGAGUCAAUCUAAUAUAUUUGUUUCUCAAUAUUUAUAAAAAAAAUUAUCAUUUUGAAUUUUUCAAGCGCGACAGUUACAACCAGAUACUAGCUAAAUUAUUGUUCAAACCUAUUAAAAAGUUUAGAAGACACUUGCAAAUAAACAAUCACACCAAAAGACAAAUAAGAAAUGAUGAUAAAUAAAUAAAAAGAAUUAAUUAAUAAUAUCACGGAAUUACCCAGAUUCAAAUUUAAAAUCACAAUCAAUUGAGUCCCAGUAAGCAACUAAUUUCGUUCACUCUCUCUCUCUCUCUCACUAAACCUUUCUUAGUUAUUUUAUUCUGAUUUUAUUUUUAUCCUCUUCUAAUUUUGUUUAUUUUUAUACUUAAUAAUUGAACAUGUUAAUGUUUUGACAAAAACCCUAUAUUUAUUUAUGCAAUCUACACAGAAUAGAAAACACGUCAUCACUUUCUCAAUGAAUGUUAGCAAAAGUACUCCAUUAAUAACAUUUCAAAAAGGAGGAAAGAGAGAAAGAAAUGAGAGAAUAAGGCAGGUUCAACCGAGCUCAAACAGAGGGAGAAUGAGAGAAAGAGGAGAGGAAAUGAGAAAGAAAAGAGAGGAGAAGAGAGGUCCAAAGUCGAAGAGAGGAUAAAUGAGAGAAGAGGAAAAGGAAAGGGAGGAAGAAAUGUGAGAAGAAAGCAGGCCCAACCAGUGUAAUUAAUCACUACAUUAAUAUAAAUUGUCUGACUUGUUUAAAAAACCACUCUAAAAUUUACAGAGAGGUAUUGAUUUAGUGGACCAUUAUUUUUGAUGGAUAGUUUUUGGUUUGAAAUUUUUUUAAGUGAAAUAUUAUCAGAUUUAUUUAGCUAAUAAACAUAAUAUCUUAAUAUAUUUGAUUUUUUUAUAUAUAAAUCAAGAUAAUAGUAGUAGUAUGAAUCUUGACCUCGUAUUUUCUUUGGUUCUCCUAGUUGCAGGUUGGAAGAUGUUGAAAUUUAAAAGAUAAGAAGGCAGACACGUAUCGAGGCAUUUGAGCCACAAAUUUAUUGACUACGUACAAGCUAUGUUGAAUGAUUAACGUCGGCUGCUAAAAAGCAUUUUCAUGUAAAAGAAAAGUCUCAUAUACUUUUCAAUUUAUUGUGCACUAAAAGAGACCCACAUUGCUUGAAGUCCAUUCCAAACUAGUGGUGCACUGAGAACCAAGGUUGUCAAUUCCGUUCCGUUCCGUCUAGAAUGACCAAAACAUUCCAUACCAAUUCAACAAAUGGAACAAAACGGAAUAAAUUUCAUCUCAUUUUAAAUCUUGGUCCGUUCCGGAUUUUUUGGCUAAAUUCCGCCCGAAACGUUCCGGUUUCAUUCCACGUGUUUCGUUCCGCUCUUGAAAAGCCAUUAAAUCAAAUUGAACCUUGCUCAAUUUCAUUAAUUAAACCACCCGAUUAUAAAAAGCUCUUUUUCAUUACUAUUUUCAAUAGCAAUGAUAUUAAUAAUAAUAUUGAAAAUUAUUAUUACUACAAUGAUAUUAAUUUUUUUAAAAUUAGAUUUAUCACUAAUAUAUAUGGUUUAUAUUCAUGUUAUUUUUUUUCAUGUUUAUACUUUGUAGGAAUUUGAGCAAAAUAAGGGAUGUUUUAGAUUCAUUAGCCACAUGAUAACAUUGACCUAACUUUAUAUUUAAAAUAUUUUUGUUGUUAAAACAUUUUACUUUCAUAAUAUUUUGAUAUUUUGUUUAAGUUGAAUUACUUUAAGUUAAAGAUCUAUUUAAUCUUGACUAUUUAGAAAUAUUUUAAAUUUUGAAAUUAUAUUUGUUUGUCAUUGUGUUUGUAUUGUAUAAUUUAUAAUUAAUUUAUCUUGAAUUCGAAUUAUGUUUGUUGAAUAUAUAUAUAUAUAUAUAUAUAUAUAUAUAUAUAUAUAUAUAUGAACAGUACAACCCCAAAACGGCACGCCGAAACACUCCAAAACUGAAACAUUCCAUUUCAAUUGGAAAAACGAAACACCUACCGAAACGGAAUUGACAACCUUGCUGAGAACUUCAUCAUCAAUUACUGUGAAAAAAAGAAGUAAUAGAGGUACAAUGGUCGUGAUCACACUUGGUUUUGAUAAGAUGAGUUGAAAAGUUUGAAAGACUUGCUGUAUACUUACAAGACCUCACUGAUCGGAUCUCAAUAUAUAUUACUGUGAAAACAAAGUAAUAUAGUGCUAGCAAGGUUGUUCUUACCUUCUCCUGGAUGUAGCUCGAGAAACUGAUCAAUAUCACCAUAACUUGGCAAAGCUGAAACAUCAUUAACAUCUUGUGCCCAAAAUUGGCUAGAAAAGCUCGAAUCAGUUUUCAAAAAAAACAUAUUUUUGUGUUUUUUGAAAUUAGGAAAAAAAAAUUGAAUUUUUAUUUUGAAAUUCCAGAGAAAAAUAAAAUAUUUUUGAUAUCGGGUUUAUAUCUUAUAGUGUAAGUCUACAAUCUAAUAUUAGGCAAAAACUAUUUUCAAAAACACGUGAAGAACCCACUAAUAAUUUCAAAAUGGUCAUUGAAUUUGUUUUUUAGAAUCUUCUUUUUGAAAUUUUUAAGGGCCUCUUUUACUAAACCCCAAAAUAAAUACAAAUUUAAACAAAAAAAAAAAUUAGGGCAGGAUUGCCAAAAGCGUUCUUAGCCUAAAAUUAGAGACAUUAAAAUUUCUUAAGGUUGUGUUUGGCAACAUGCCUUAAGGAUCCAAACAAAGCCUUAUUUCCUUGACAAAAUUGAUUGGCACAAGUCAAAGGACCUUUAGCUUUUGGGUUUGGCUUAGCCUAGCCACAUGGGUUGGGCCUAUUGGGUUGGCUUGAGGCCGAAACCCCUACAUGCGGGUUGGGCUUAAGACCUACCCAACUUGAUUUUUGUUGGGCCAAAAUAUGUCCCAAAAGGCUUUUGUCUUAUAAACCUAUCCUAACCACAAGGUGAUAGGACCUUAAGUCAAGAAGAAAUGAACAUUCAAAAUCUUGCUUACAAAUUGUCUUCAGGACCUUAAGUCCAAUAUACAAAAAUCUUUAAACUAAGGUAAACACAUUCCAACUAGGAACAUGAAGGUUUUUUUUUCCCCAACUAAUAACCACACAAAACAUGGUUCAAUUUAGCUAAGGAAAAACUCUUGUCCUUUAAAUUCUAUAUUGGCUAUGAACUCGUAAAUAUUCUUAUUAUAUUGCUCACAUCUUAUAAGCCUUAAAAUUUCACCCCCUUCCAAUAUAGCUAAAUAUAUUUCUUGCUAGCAUAUCUUAUUUUUAAGUUCAACUCAAAAUCAAAACUCAUGAAUUAUAUGCAAGCAACACAAUUAAGGUUAAUAAAAUAAUGUCACACGAAAUUGUCUCAUCAAUAAUAAUCUUCAUAACUUUACUAGUUCAUAUCUUUUCCCAUAUCUUUGAUCUAAUUUGGCCACAUCAUAGGACUAGAGCCUCACAUUUAUUCUUAUUACGAUAUGAUCUAUGUCUUAGCAUGGUGGGUUGCAAAGAUCUUUAUUGUUUGUUUAUCAACAUGAUCUUCCUUACUAAUGAUUCCAACAUUAAGUUUCAACCACUCUUUUAAUGUUACGGAGAGAAGAUAAUUUUCUAACACCACUAUCAUCAUCUUAAGCAUUAAGUUGGUGCAAUUAUGCACACUUCUUCCCGUUAUGAUUGUCACAUUUGGACAUCGCGACAACCCGAUUAAAUAAUUUUCAAGGAAAAAGAAUAGAUAUCUGACAUCUUGUUCUUUAGGAGAAAAAAAUCUUAUUUAAGAAGUUGUCACCUAGUAUUAUGGUUAUUAGAAACCCUAAUUGGUUAACAUAGAUUCUAUGGUACGGGACUGCUUACGCGAAAGGAAAAAUACUAUUACCCCUUAAGCGUCCUACUUAAGGCAAACUGCAUUGCUGGUUUUGUCUUAAAUUACUAAAAGUUUUUUUUAUUAUGCUUUUCAUGGUCUGCCUAGGAUAUUCCUGACUCUAGCGUAAGUGAAUACUCGACUACAAAUAUUUUCAACUCUAGCAUUAGUAAAUAUUACGCAACCCAAAAAGUAUAGCAUUCCUAACUCUAAUGCUAGUGAAUAAACCCAUAAAAUUUGGAUUAAAAGAAAAAAAAAACUAUUUUUAUUAUAUUUUUUAGGGGGCUGGAUCGAGCCUAUGUUGGAUCCAAUUAGCCCGACCUAAUUAGCUUGACCUGGUCACUGGCCCAAGCCAAUGACCCGGCUGGUCACUGUUGCAUGUAUGCGUGAACUAUUCACGUAUGUUGUGCAUUGUGCGAAGGUAAUUUUAAUUACCUUCACACAAUGUCAAAUACAAAUUACAAAGCAAAAAGAACAUGCCUAGUUCUAGAGACGAGAGGGUGUUUAGAAGUGUGGUAACGCUUGCUUUCCAAUGUGAUUUUCAUUCUAUAAUACAUUAAAAUAUUUUAAAAAAAAAAAAUUAUUUUUGACAACAACACCUCAAAAUGAUAUGAAAACAUCAAAAAAUAUUAAUUUAAAGCAAAUAAAAAAAUUCAAUUUUUUUUUUAAAACACUUCUAAAAUGCAAUGCCAAACAUUAUUUAUUGUUUCUCGUUCACUUCCCCUAUGUUCUCUCUUUUGGUCUCCUAUUCUCUCUAUUUCUCUGCUUGCUAUGUUAUCUCUUUUGGUCUCCUUUCGCUCCCUCUGUCCCUGUGUUUUCGUCCGUUUUUUUUGUCUCUCUAGUAUUCUUCUGUCGUCCUGUACCCAUAGGCGGAGCCUUGUAGAAGGCUAAGGAGGGCUGUAGCCCAGGGUAAAAAAAAAAUUAAAAGUCCACUUUUCCUUUUAAGUUUUAGACAGCAUACUUAUACUACACUUUUCCUAUAUUGCAAACCUAAUAUCCCACUUUUCCUUACAAUACAUAGCCAUUAGCCGCCACUUUAGUUUCCCUAGCAAGCCACCCACCUUUCCUUGCAAGUUGCAAUACUAAUUAAUUAUUAAACUUUAUAGCAAAUUUAUUUAAAUAUAAAUAAUUAAUUAGUUUACAUAUCUUCAAAAUAACUUGGGAUUUUAGCUAUUUUUCUUCUCAACAAUAUACAAUUUUAGCUUGAAUUUUGAAGAAGAAUCUAUACAAAGAGCCGCAAGAGUGUAAAAUCAUCAGGUAAGAAUUUACAAACUAUGACUUUUCAUUUUAAAUUAAAUGUUUCACAUUCAUUACAGUAGAUUGUUAAUGGAGUAAACAAUAGACUGUACCCUAGAAAUUGAUGCAUGUUAACACACUAGUAGUCUAGUACUAAUAAUUUACUAGUUAUUUCAAAGUUAAGUUCUCCAAAUCUCCCAGUAGUUUGCAUCACUAGUUUAUCCUUUUAUAUUCUGCAUUUUAUGAAUAUUUUAUUGUGGCAUUAGUAUCUUUUCAUCUUGCACCUGAUUUCCCUAAUCCCUUUUACUUGAAUAGGUUAUAAAUUAUAAUGGAAAAUCAAGGGAACAAGAGAGGAAAAACUAUGUUUUCAUUCUUUAAACCAAACGAACAAACAUCAACCAGUAAAGGACAUUCUCCUUCCAAUGUUGAUGUGUCAAAUCGUAGUGAACAACCCCCUUUCAAAUCUCAAAGAGUUGAAAUUGAUGUUAAUACUCUUGAACGAGAUCCUAGGUUACGAAUUCCAGUGUGGAAACAUCCUAUUAAUCAACAAGAUGAAAUUAGAAGAGCUUAUAUCAAAAUGGGUCCAUAUCAACCUAAGUUAGCAGAGUAUCCAAGGACUGAAUUAGGGAGACAGUAUCGUCGAUUUCAAUACACUUGGUUUGAUCAAUUUCCUUGGCUAGAGUACUCUCCAUCAAAGGAUGCAAUAUUUUGUUUUCCAUGCUUUAUCUUUGAAAACAAAGUGCCUCGUCAUCUCACAUUCACCACCGAAGGCUUUAGAAAUUAGAAAAGGGUUAAUGAUGGGGUCAGAUGUGCACUUUUGAUGCAUGUGGGAAGUCCAACUUCACCAUAUAAUAAUGCUGUGAAAUCUGCUGAAGAUUUAAUGAAAGUAACUAGACAUAUUGAUAAAGUGUUGAAUGCACAAACUGUUGAAGAAGUUCAGAAAAAUCGGUUGAGACUUAUGACAACAAUUGAAAGUGUUCGAUGCUUAGCUUACAAGCAUGUGCAUUUAGAGGUCAUGAUGAAUCUUCAGCUUCUAAUAAUCGAGGUAAUUUUUUGGAGAUGAUAAGACUUAUGGGGAGACUUAAUGUUGACAUUGAUGAUGUUGUCUUAGAAAAAGCUCUGAAAAAUGCAAAGUAUACCUCACCGACUAUUCAAAAAGAGAUUUUGCAAAUUCUUGCGAACAAAGUGAGGAAAAAGAUUUGUGAAGAAGUUAGAGAUGCAAAGUUAUGUAUUUUGGUUGACGAAGCGAAAUAUGCAUCAAAUAAAGAACAAAUGGCUAUUGUUUUGAGAUUUGUUGACAUUCAGGGUUUUGUACGAGAGCGUUUCUUUAGUAUUGUGCAUGUUUCAGAUACUACUUCUUCAACACUUAAAAAAGAAAUUUGUGAUGUGCUCGCUCGAUAUAACUUGCAUAUUUUCAAUAUGCGAGGUCAAGGGUAUGAUGGUGCUAGCAAUAUGCGUGGCGCAUGGAAUGGACUACAAGCUUUAUUUCUCAGAGAUUGUCCUUAUGCAUAUUAUGUACAUUGCUUUGCUCACCGACUACAACUGGCAUUAGUUGCAGCAGCUGGAAAUGAGAUUUCUAUUUGGUUAUUUUUCUCAAAAUUGACAACCAUUAUCAACCUUAUUUGUGCUUCUCCCAAACGUCAUACCGAGUUACAUUAUGCUCAGGCUAUAGAAAUUGCACAUAUGGUAGCUACUGGAGAAUGUGAGACUGGUAGAGGGGCUAAUCAAAUUGGUAAUUUACAUCGAAGUGGAACUACUCGCUGGAGCUCUCAUUUUGAUUCUAUUUGCAGCUUAAUAGAUAUGUAUGGUGCAACUAUUAUUGUGCUUGAAAGUAUGGUUCAAGAAGGAUCUUCUAAUUCUAUACGUGGAGAAGCUGGUGGCUGUUUGAUUGUGAUUAAAUCUUUUGAAUUUAUAUUCAUCUUAUAUUUGAUGCAUAAAAUAAUGGGGAUUACUGAUUUACUUUGUCGAGCUUUGUGUUGUAACCCAUUUUUGGGUCCCCGCAAAAAAAAAAAUACAAUAAAAUAAAAAAUAAUAAUAAUAAAAAAAUAAUAAUAAAAAAUAAAUAAAUUGCCAAAGGAGGUUAGAGAAAUAACAAGGGGGGAAGCGCUCAGAAAAUGGUCAGAAAAUUGGUCCAGGAGGUUAAAAAUACAAAGAUUGGAUUUUUGACAGUAUAUUCUUGAAGGAUGAGAGCCCUAUUUAGAAGGAAAAUUUGAAUUUUUGAGGAAAAAGCCUAAAUUUGGAGGUUUAUGGACAUGAUUGGAUUUUUAAUGGGAUUGUUAGGGGUUUUGAUUGCGAGAAAAAUUGAUUUUUAAAUCAAUUUGGGCUUUAGUUAGAAGAAAUUUAAGUUCUGGGGCCAAAAUAUAUUUUUUAGGAAUUUAUUAGGCCAAAUCAGGGGCUUAAUUGCAUGAAUUUUGAAGUUUAAUGGCCAAUUAGGGGUUUAAUUGCGAAAAUCCGAAACCAGGGACCAAUUUGGAAAAGGCGCGAAUAUAGAGGGAGCUGUAUUGAAUUGAUUCAGGGGCCUAAUUGAAGAAAUUAGAAGUUUAUUGAUCAAUUAAGGGCUAAAUUGCAUAAAUCAGAGGCCAAGGACCAAAGUGAAAAGCGCGGCCAACUAUGGGGGCAGGGACCGAAAUUGGUAGGGACGCAAUUGAAAAGAAAAAGAUGAUUGAGGGCUGAUUUGGAAUUUAGCGCGUUCUGGCGCCAUUUUUAAAUGAAACGGCGCAUUUUAUCCAAAACGACGUCGUUUCAUACUUAAAAAAAAAAAAAAUAAUAAAAACAGAAAAGGGCUAAACGGCGCCGUUUUGAACGACACUGUUCCCCUUUCUUCCCCGCCUAACAUACAGCAGUAAAGAAGGAAAAAAAAAAAAGAAUGUAUAUUUUAUGGCGUUGGUCCCUCCAGCCCACCGAUUGGCCGACCACCUACCGCACCGCCGAAACUGAGGGAGGCACGCCUGGACAGCCACGCCCGACCAGCCGCCGUAUGACCCCACGAUGAGAAGAAAAAAAAAACACAUGCACGGGCUAUAAAUGGAGGAAGAACAGCAGAAGAAAAAAGAAGAAAAAAAGAAGAAGAGAAAAACAGAGGGGAGAGCUGACAGAUUAUUGAAAGAAAACCGUGAGGGAGAGAGAGAGAACCAAGCUUUUGGAGAGGGACCGAAAGGGAGAAGAAAGCUGAGAACAACGUGAGAGAGGGGUUGUAGAGGAAGGAAACUGAAGAAGAAGACAGAGGAAGAAGAGUAGCAGAACAGAGAGAGGGAACAACGAAAAAACUGACCCAAGGUGACGGUGAACAGAAACAGAGGAGAGAGAGAAAGAGGACAGCCGCCGACUACGCCGCCUCCGCCGCCUCCGCCGCCUCCGCCGCCGCCAGCGUCGCCACCGUUCCAGGUACUCGUCUUCCCCCUGUUGCCUUUCGUUUAUACAUUCAGUGGUUUUUUUUUCAUUCUUUGCAUGCAGAACGUGAAUCACGUUCUGCAGCAAAGAAUGAAAAUAAUUCGGUAGUUACUGUGCUGGGCACAGUAACUACCUUAUUAUUUGCUGGUUACUGUGUGGCUAACACAGUAACCAGCCUUUUGGUUGGUGGGCUGGAACAUCAGCCCAGCCCACGCGGCUGGGCUGAGUCCAGCCCACAGUAUAUGGGCCGGGUCAGGCCCAUCCCAGGAUGGAUGGGCUAGAUCCGGCCCAGUUUUUAUUUAUUUAUUUUUGUUAAUUAAAUUGGUUUUUUUUUUGUUUUUUUGUAAUUUUACAAGUUUCCCGUGUAUUUUUGAUUAAUAUCAAGCAGCAUUUUUUUAUGUUGGGAAAAAAUAUAAAUCCGGUAUUAAAAUACCCCGUUUUCGGUACUGUUCACCCGCCCAUUCAAAAAAAAAAAUCAAAAAAUAUUUGUUUCAUUUAUAAUUUUUCCGCGUAAUUUUUUAUGUCAUUUUGAUUAAUAUUGGGUGAUAUGUUUUUUAUGUUGUUAAAAAUACAAAAAUCUGAUUUUCAAAUUCCCGGUUUUCGUCAAAAAAAUUUUUCCACAAGAUAAAAAAAAAAAAAAAAAGAAAAAAAAAUGUUUUUGUGCAUACGGCCAAGUGUCUCAAAGCUAAAAUUUAUAUUGUAUUUUUAAUACACAAAAAAAAAAAAUGUUUUAGCAUGCAUUUUGGCUUUAAUAACCAGUUUAUUAAAGUCAAGAGAAUAUUGGCCAAUAUUUCAAAAACAACAAAAAUUUUAUUUUUUGGACAAUAAAACCUGGGGUAUGACAUUACACGUAAUGCAUAUUCCGGAUAUUUAAUUUUUAUUUUUUGGACAAUAAAACCUGGGGUAUGACAUUACACGUAAUGCGUAUUCCAGAUAUUUAAUUCUUUUUUUUGUUUGGACAAUAGAACCCGGGGUAUGACAUUACAUGUAAUGCAUAUUUUGGACAAUAGGAAACCACAACAUGACUUAGAUUUUAUUAGACAAAACAAUGCAGCCUACCUUAGGUAGGGCGUAGUUGGGGUGCUAACACCUUCCCUUUACGCAACCAGUCUCCGUACCUGAUCUCUCAAGACCAGUAAGGGUUCCUAGUAACCAGAAUACUAGGUGGCGACUCCCGAUCCAUUUUUUAGCUUAGAGACAAAGAACUCCUUGUCUCACCAUAUUUUCCAUGCCAGAUAGACACAUACUACACCCUCAUGAAGGGUUGGGGUGGACGAUCGCCGCGCCGCCGCACACGUGCGACACUUUGCAGCAAAAAUCUCUUGACAUCUUAAAUGCAAUGGAUCUUGUAUUAACUACUAAAGUAUUGCUUCAAACUUUGAGAGAUGCCGGAUUUGAUCUUCUCCUUGCAAAUGUGCAAUUUGUUUGCACAAAGUAUAAGAUUGACAUACCACAUAUGAAUGCUUCGUAUAAAAAAGCUACAGGUCGUUCAUGUCAACAACAAGGUUCAGUGACAGUUUACCAGCAUUAUCAUUAUGAUACAUUUAACUCAACAAUAGAUUUUCAGUUGGAAGAAUUAAAUUCUAGAUUCAAUGAUGAGUCAGUGGAACUCCUUGUACUUAGCUCUGCUUUAGAACCUAAAGACAACUUUAAAUCAUUUAAAGUUGAUGCUAUUUACAAGCUUGCUGAGAAAUUUUAUCCUGAAGAUUUCAAUGAACAAGAGAUGUAUUAUUUGAGAUCUCAGCUAGAGCAUUAUUAGAUUGAUGUGAUUCAUCAUGAGAGCUUUCAGAAUAUAUCUACCAUUUCUGAAUUAUAUCGAGGAUUAGCUGAAACAAAUAAGUCGCAACACUAUCAUUUGAUUGACAGGUUGAUUCGUCUUGUUUUGACUUUGCCUGUUUCCACUGCCACUACAGAGCAGGCAUUUUCAGCUAUGAAACAUGUUAAAACUGUGCUUCGCAAUAAAAUGGAAGAGGAGUUCUUAGUAGAUUCUAUGAUGAUUUACAUUGAACGAAAGCUUGUUAAAGAUAUUGAUUCGGAUUCGAUCAUAGAUGAAUUCUAUUCUACAAAACAUCGAAGGGUGCAGCUUUGAUCGUGUAAUUUAUUUUUAUUUUUAUUUUGAAUUUUAUAUACUUUAAAUUUUAUUUUUUAUAUAUUUUAUGUUAUGUAUUUGAAUUAAAACUUUAUUGUUAACUUGACAAAUUUAUAUAUCCAAGUGAAUGGUUGAUCUUAAAAAGUAAUUUAUGUGUAUUUAUAUCAUAGCUCACGAUAAGAAAAAUUCCUGGCUCCGCCCUUGCCUGUACCUGUGUUUUCAUUCCUUCUCUUUCGUGUCUAUCUUCUCCUCUGUUCUUUCUGUGUUUGUUUCUGUUUUGUCUUUUGUCUUUCAGUUCGUCCUCUCGGUUUCUUCGUUCUCUGGUUUUUUUUUGGUGUGGCCUUCUCCUGGAAUGCUCUGUUUCUGGUGCAGUAGCUACUGAAAUUGGAGACCUAGCGUAAGGGCGUCCCUGCUGGUGAUCCUAGAGGCUGAUUUUCAGCUGAGGAGAAGAACUCUCGGAGUUUACAGGUUACUGCUAUUGCUGGUUGGAGGCUGGUGUUCAGCUCUGCUAUGGUUGAUGAGGAAUGGUAUUAUAGCUGCGCCUGUGGUGAUUGACCCGGCAGCCUUUAUGGUAUUCUUGUUGGGUGACUGAUCUACCGUGACAAUGAUUUAUGGACUGGUGCAGUCGCUGGUUGGAGCUGCUGCCAUUGGGAGAAGAGAGAUGGAGCAGCGCCGGUUGAGACGUGGAGGAACUGGCCACGGGGGAGAAAGCUGCGACCUUCGGUGAUGGCUCAAUGACCUGUAAUGGUUCUUAGUUUAAGAAAAGGUUGUGGUGGCCAUUUUUUGUUAGGGUUGCUCAGCCAUGCAACCGAUUGGGCCUUUUUAUUAUUAUUAUUAUUUAUUCUUCUACUUGGGUUUUCUUGCAAUGUAUUCCCCCAAAGGUUUCGUGUUAUGGUCUCUCCCUUCUUGUGCAUGUGGAGAUUUGAAUUUAGAGUGAAAGAAUUUUACUGUGUAUGAGAAAUAAAAUCCAAAAUAAAUUUAUUAUUAUUUUUUUAAAUUUAAAUUUGAUUAAAAAUCAAUUUUGAAAAUGGAUAAUUAUUAUUAUCUUGAUGAUAAUAAUAAAAUAAUUAAAAUAUAUUAUAUUCUCUAAUUUUUAUGCAAGUUGACAAACCAUAUUUUUUUAUCAAAACAAAUCUCAGAUUUUUUAACUUUAUAUUUUACCUCCUAUAAAAUUAAAUUAAAAACUAAUUGGCUAAAAUUAGAUUAUAACAAUGAUCAUCCCGUAUGUAUACCCUUUACCAUUAAUCCCUUUUAAAGUUACAAAGUCCACUAGAACACAAUCACCAUUAAUCCCUUUCAAAUUCACAAAUUCCAUUUCAGUACUCUAAAACCAAAUAUAACAAACCGUGAUUUCAUAAGUAAUUAAGACAAUAAUUCAGCAUCACAUACAUGAAAAUAUGGUCAUUUGUUUUAUCAUUUACCAACUCAUCAUGAUAAAAUUUUCCAUUUUAUAAUUACCUCAAAUGAGUAAAUCCUUUUUCCCUUUUACUUUUCAUUUACACUAACUUUUUUCCACACUUUAACAUAUGUUUCAUUUUUUAUUCACAACUUUCACAUUUUUAGUCUUAGUGACUUCCUUUCUUAUAUGAAUCCACCUUAUAAGAAUUUAAUUUUUCUUUAGCCUUUCAUUUAGGAUUACCAAGUCCAAUUGUUUAUAAUAUUCACUGGCAAGAUAGAAUGUUAUAUAAUGAUAUCUAACAUAGUGGAACAUUCAUUUAAUAUCCACUUCUUUUUAGCAUAAUUUACUCGAACAAACCUCGUUUCCUUAGGAAAUAUCCAUAUUACUUAUUUAGACCCUUUUUUAUAAUACUAUGGUUUUUAGGUAGACUUGCUCGAUUAUUAAUUAAAUUUUGAUAAAGCUUUUUCUAUAUAGAACUCAAUCUAAAAUUUUAUUUGUAUAAUAACCUAUAAAAAAUAUUGUUAUCCAUUUUUGGAUUCCCACACAAAAAAUAAGAAAAUACAAAAAAAAAUAUUCGGAAGAAAUCCAAAAAAAUAAUAGAAGCAAGAAAAGAAUGAUGGAAUGCCGAAGAAAAGUCAAAAUUGGUUUAGGAGGUUCAAAAAUGCAAAAAGUUAAAAUUUAACAGUAUAUUUUUUACUGAUGAGAGCCUUGGAGACAAAGAAAAUUUAAUUUGAAAAAGAAAAGUUCAAAAUAAGUUGUUUAUGGACUCAAUUAAAUUUUAUCUAAGGUUUAAUUGGAUUUAUAGAGGGUUUGAUUGCAAGAAAAUCGAUCUUUUAAGUCAAUUUAGGUUUUUAUUAGAAGAAAUUAAAGUUCUGGGGUCUAAUUAUAAUUUUGAAGAGUUGAUUUGGUCAAAUCAAGGGCUUAAUUGCAUAAUUAUUGAUGUUUAAUGGUCAAUUAGGGAUUUAAUUGAUCAAAACCAAGGAUCAAACCAGAAAAUGCGCUAAACUCAAGGGAUCCAAUUACAGCUCGUCCGGGGGCUUGAUUAAACAAUUGUCAAAAUAACCAAGGACUGAAUCGAAAAUAUCCAUUUGAAAUUUUGAAACGGCGCCGUUUUCCUUAAAGAGCCACUAUUCAUUGUCUCCUUCAAAUAAAGCCGUUUUCAGUAGUAAAACAGGGAUACAUUUUGCAUCAAAUUGCUCCAAUUAUGGGGCACGUUUUAUGGCGUCUAUCCCGUUACAUGCAGAUUACAAGCCGGCUGUUACCAGCACAAGGCUGUCUCUGGCCUAUAAAAGCAGGAGAAGAAGAUAGAAAUGAGGAGGAAAGAAGAGGAAAAAAAAGGGUGGCAGAAAAACCAGGGGAGGAGAGCAGAACAAAGGCAGAAGGACUGGAGGGAGAACGAGACAGUGAGGAGAAAAAAAAGGAAGGGGAAGAAGGGAGAAAACAGAGAGAGUGACCGUGGUGGAAAAACGGAGACAGCAAGAGGGCAGAACAGAGAAGGAAAAGCAACGAGAGAUGAAAGGAAAAGCAGAGGAGGAGAGAAAAAAAGAACACAGGGGAAAGGAGAUGAGGAGGACGCAGACACACCAGAAAAAAGAACAGGGAGAAUAAAGAAAGGAGACAGAGGGAUGCGCACUGGGUAGCACAGGGAGUAGGAAGUAGGGGAGAGGGACUGUUGAACCUCUUUCAAAACCGCAGGAUCCGUGAUCAAGCUCAGACGAAUUGGAAAAAAAACACGAAUACCAGUAGCAAGGAAAAACAGACGAAGAGGAAGAACCAGAGGAAAAGCAAACAAAACAGGGAAGAUAUAAAUCCAAAAUAUGUUGCUGUCUUCGUCUUGCUUCCAGGUAACUCCAACUUGGCAAAAUAAUGCACAAAACACUGUGCACUUGGAAUUUAAUUACAUGUUGGCUGUAACAAGCGUGCUUGACUUAUUCACGCACGCUGGCGGGUAGGAUCCAGCGGGGUCACUGGUCUGCUAGGCCUGUUGGGUCCAGCCCAGCCACAUGGCCCGAGUUGGACCCAGCUAAAAAAAAAAUUUCCAAAAUUAUUUUUAAAAAAUUGUGAUUUUCUUGUAUAUUGUUUACUGCAUUUUGAUCAAUAUUGGUUUGUAUUUUUAUGCUAUAAAGAUACAAAUCCGGUAUUAAAUACCUGGUUUUUCGUCAAAAUACAAAAAAGUAAAAAAAUAUAUAUUUUGUUUUCAUGCAUACGGCCAAGUAUCUUAAAGAAAAAAAAAUCAUAUUUUCAUACAAAAAAAAAAAAAAAAGGUUUUAGCAUGCAUUUUGGCUUUAAUAAUUUAUUAAAGUUACAAGAAUUAGGCCAAUAUUUCAAAAUUUUCAAAAAACUUAUUUUGUUUUUUUUAAUAUCUAGGAUUACGAUCUUAUAUCUAAGAUAUAUUCCGGAUAUUAAAUUCUUUUGUUGACGAUAGAACGAUUAGGUUUCACUCAAUAAGAUAAGAGUCUCUUUACCAAAGAGAACUUUUUUUAAACCAUAAAUAGACCAACUGAUCAAAAUACUAAGUGGCGACUCCCAUUUUAUUUUCCACUAAUAAAAUACAAGAAUUCUUUGUCUCCUCACAUUUGCUACAUUUAGACAAUUGAUUUUAAGGGGGGAUGUUUUCGCUGCGACGCCGCACACGUGCGACAAAAAAAUUAACAUCACAAUCACAACCCUCAUCACCAUGCAAAACAAUCCACCUAUCAUUUCAUAAGUAACCUCAGGUAUACAUUAACCUAUCCUUCCUCACAUUGAUACAAAACCUAUAUUUUAUACCUCCCAAUGCAAUAAUAAAUUUGAUACUAGAUGAAUUGAAACAUCAUGCAUGCAUAAAUAAUUCUAAAUUAUUACAAUUAUAAGUUUAUAUACAAAUAUUUCUAAUUUAUGAAAUUUAUAAAUUUACUAAAAGUAAUCCCAAAUCAUAUUAAAAGGAAGAUCUAUCAAUUCAAAUAUGCAAACAAAUUGAGUAAUAUGCAACUAAUAUUAAUAUUAGGGAAAUUCAACAAUUGUUCCCAAUACACCAUCAUUAAAACACAAUUCUUUUUAUUUUCUUUUUGGCCUUUUCUUGACUAUACUACCUAUUUCCUUAACUUUUCAUUUGUAAUUCUUUGCAAACAAGCCCUUACUCUUACACAUAAUUAUGAUACUUCACACUAAUAACUUUAUAUCAUGUAGUAUAUUGGAUUAUCAAAGUUAUGGCCUAACCAUGCAAUUAGCUUAGUUCUUUUUGAUAUCUUUGAUGUCCCUUCCUAAAAUCAUCCAAAAGACAUUUGAUAUGUAGAGUCCUACUUAAAUGACCAACUCAUAAACACUAGAUCCAUAGUCCCCACUCAUGUUGUUAGCUUAUCAAUUCUUGACAAGUAAUCCCUAUUUAUAUGGUCGGUUUAUCAAUUAAUUUUAUAUAUCUUAGAUAUAUUUUAUUUUUUUUAGAUGCAAACACAAUAACAAGAAGUUUAAAAGUAACAUUGUUUUAAAUAAAAGUAAGGUGGAGACCAUCUAUUUGCUCUUUCAGAUGAUCUAGCUAUUUAUAUUGAGGAUCAAACCACUGAUACCUCUUUUUAUAAAAAGAAAGAUUCAAACAUUCAUAUUUAUGCUAUUAUUGUUCAAUUCAUAACAAGACAUUUCAUUAUACCCUAAUUUCUACACCUUUCAAUAAUUAGUCCAUUUCUUAUUUCCAUUAUCUUAUAUAUUAAUUUCCUUGUUUUACAAUAAUACACAAUAUUAGCAAUAAUAUUUACUAGCAUCAUUUUUCUUUUAACUUAUUUUAUUUGAUACAUUCCCGAUCUUAUAACUUAGUCAAAUAUUUAAUUUUAUUUAAUAUGCUAAUAUUUUCCGCAUUGCAUUGCAUAUACAACCUUUCAAAAUUCACAACUUACCACUUAAUUUCCAUAACUACCUUGAAAUUUCUAAACACACAAAGUCAACAUAAUAUAUUUUAAUGAGUGUGCAUGCACUCAAGAAUUUUUAUUAAUAUCAAUUUUAAUUUUAAUUCUUAUUCUUUUAAUUUUUUUUUACAAUAAUUAAAAAUUAAAUUAUACAAAGUUAUCCUACCAUUUAAUAUGCAAACAACAUCCGAUACAAUGGACACAUAAUAAUAUACAAUAUGAAAAGUAUGAAGGCAAUGAAAAUAUAACUUAUAAGAUCUAAAUUGUACAUUAUCAUUGUUCACUAACAUCCAAGCUGUAAAAUCUUAACAAUCAUCUAAUCAUUAUCAGCUAAUAUUCUUUUAGCUUGAUAACUUUUUUUUUAUUGUGUUCAAGGAGUCUGUCCUUUUUUAUAAAUCAUGUAUAUAAAUUUGUUGGUUCUCCAGCCAUGUAUAUUUUUUUUAUUUGAUAUAUAUACUUACUUUUGAUUAAAAAAAACACAAUCUAAAAAAUUAAAUAAAAAAAAUUAUAACACAACAUAAACAAGGGAUAAUUGCAUUAACAGUACAUGAAUUUUAUUUUAUUUUUGUUUAUAUACACCAACUUAAGUAAUCAAGCACUUUCAUCCAAACUCUGUUAGUUCCUUUUUUGUUUACGUGUACUUUGGUAUUUAUUAAAAAAAAAUUGCAACAUUGAUAUACCAACUUUCAGUUUUCAUCAGUCAAGUAAAUAAAUUUUUUUUUUCCAUUAAAGUACACCAUUUUAAAAAAAUCUCAUACAAAAACAAGCUGAUUCCUUCUUUAAAUUUAAUUUUAUUAAAAAUAUUCAUAAUAUCCAUCCCCAUAAAUCGGGAGUAAUAAUCACUGGCCAGGAAGAGUGCCUUGGGCUCUGAAUUCUCACAACCACGGAGAUAGCUUUCAGAGACCGUUUACAUAUCUAGAAUUAUAAAUCCAUAACCAUACCAAGAUGGAUGGUAAGCAACAAAACGUUGUGUAGACGUCUAAAUAUUGAUCCUCUGUAUCAUCAUUAUAUGAUUACAAACGGAGCUCCGAGCAUGUCUUUGGCUUUUUUCAAAUUAAAGACGAGGUUUCCCUGAGGUUUAAACUUACGGACUUGGGAUUGAUGAGGUAAAGAUCAGGGGCAGAUGUAGAGGAAUUUCCAAUCCAUGAUUUAUCUGAUGGAGGAAAGAGGUCUUGU
rnacentral:lncRNA from 1 species